CUCUCGCCGGCGGGCCGGCUUUCUACGCGGGGGCAGCGAGGCUGGCUCAGCACCCCGGGCCUCCUCUUGCAACCCUCGGGAAUGGCCGGCCGCCCCACUGAAAGCGCUGGGGAACCGAGAGGUGUCUUAGAAAGCUGCAUGAGUGGCAGAACGGUGGCUACUAUGACAGAGAGGCCGCCGUGGGCGAAGAGGGAGUGUGACAUUCUUCAGAAUUCAUCCUGGAAUCAAUAUUAUGCCAAAGAAAAUUUUCUGAAAGCUACACAGAUCAUACCACUGCAACUCAGCCAACCAGCACAUCGGACAGUGGGAGGAGGAAUUCUUGGCUAAGAGUACUGAGAGAUGGGGUUUCACCAUGUUAACCAGGAUUGUCUCAAUCUCCUGACCGCGUGAUCCACCUGCCUCAGCCUCCCAAAGUGCUGGGAUUACAGGCGUGAGCCACCAUGCCUGGCCAAAAUUCUGUAUGUCUUUCUAAUCUCACUUCCUAAUGGAGAUAAAAUAGAUCUCAGGCUUAUGUAUUUUUCUAGAACAUUAAAAUCUUGUUUUUUGUGUAUUUAUUAUUAAGUUUACCUUCUAUUGUGGAAAACUCUAUUGAUUCUUCAUUUAAAAUAGUAAUAUAAAUUUUAUUUUCAAGGAAUGCAUUUAGGAAACUAAAGAAGUCAAUGUAAACAACAAAUAUUGAAUAAAUAAUAGUCCAGGUGAUACACAAAGUUGGAAAAUACUACAACACCUACCAUUAAGAAAUUAUUACCAAAUAGGUUGGUAAUAACCUCUUUACAUAAUUAGUUUUAAAAUCCUUUAUGAAGAGAAUAUUUGUUUGCUUUUAAAUAAUCAAAUACUAGAGGUGAAAAAAUAGGCCACAUAACCAAAAUAUAGGACUCCAUUAGAUUUCAAAUCCACUUGGGCUCAAACAAACCUAUAGAGUUUGAAUACAUGUGUUAGAAAAUGAAACUGGCCCAUAAUUAGUGCUAAAUGAAUGCAGAAUCAAUUUAACACAUUGAUCCAUUGCCUGUGGCUACAUUAAUUUGUGGUAACUAAGCCGUAUAGUACCCUAUCAUUUAAUUCUCCAGGAACAUAAAAGGAAAGGAGAGAAAAGAAGAUGUGGAUCUGUGGCUGUUCCAAUUCAAAGUUGAUUCAAUGUUUUACAUGCAAGGAGAAAAAAUAUCUCCUGAGACAAUCAAGUUGAAUGGAACCCUUAUUUACUAAUUUAGACUUAAUUUGAUUCUGGAGCUAAAAAGCUUUUGGCUCUUUACCAUAUAGAUCCCUUGAGAUGACCUUCAGCUAAUUUUGAAUGAAGUAAAACAGGGACUUGUCUGUCUUCCUCAUAACCCUCUUCUCUUCUGUCUUUUAAAUUUGUAUCUUAAUGAUUUAAUACUGCUUCUUGUUGCAUUCCAGGAUUCUUUCCAAUUUUAUGCUGUCCAAUUCUUAUUAGAACAUAAAUUGAAAGAAAAAUAUGCAUAGAAUACUGCCUGAAGGAUAGUCAGUUCAGUCUUACUAGUUUUCUAAAAUUUACCUAUGGAUCAAGCCAGACCAGAGAGUCUUAUGUACCUGAAUCAAAUCAUCUUGAGGUGAUUUGUCACUUAAAAUAAAUUUCAGAUUAAUAUCUUUUUAUCAGAUUAUGCCAAAGAACAGAGGAGAAACAACCUAGGAAAUUUAGAUUCUGAAUUUAUUUUGAAAUAUUGUUGAAGACAUUGGCGACUAUCAUCACACAAACAAUGUCCUGCCCCCAUUAUAUGGACCUGGAGGAGAAAUUUCUCUCAGAUUUCAACACCAGGAAAAACUAUGUUUCUCCUGAGCAAUUGGUUUGUUGUUACUUCAUGAGUUUCAUAAAUCCAUGUUUCUUUUUACUGGAAAAUUCAGAACCAAAUUUGUAGCCUACCUCUGCCAGCUGUACAGUACUCUCAUUAUGCAUUCUUGUGUAUUUGCCCGGCUUCAACUUAUUUUCCCUUUUCUUUGAUUUACUCAUAUAUUUAUUUAACCCUAUGUGUUGACUGUGAUUUUUGUAAGCUGUUUAAGCGCUUUACAGAAUAAGACUAAGAAAUUAGAAACAUACAUACUGAUACUGAUAGAACAUUGUCAUCCCUUGGCCAUGAUUUCCCAUCUCGUGUCCUUUUUGAAAAAUGGAGUUCAUAUUCAUAGAUACUUGAAAAUUUAAGAACUUUUUCCCUGUCCUCAGAGCCAUCUCUAUAUUCUAUUUUUUAAAUGAACUAUAUUAUUUUCUCUAAUAUUGCCGUAAAUUCUGUGGGGAAAUCGCUGAAACUCUCAGAGGGACAACUGGAUUGACAAAAUUCACAACCUUUGUCAGAUGUCUGUCUCCUUGGCCUUCUGCUUUGAAGUAGCAGAGUCUAUUCCAGCAAGAUUAAUAAGAUUAAACAAUUCUAAUUCCUAGAAAAGGGGAUGAGGUGGAAAGGAAACAUAUUUUAUUGAGUGCUAGCUAUAUAUCAGCUACAUAUGCUAAGUAUGUAAUAUAUUACUUUAUCUUUACAAAGGAAAACAGUUCUCCCAGAGAGAAUCUUUGCCUUAGUAAAGAAGCUUCUGAGUCAUAAAAAUGAUGAUAGGCCGGGCGUGGUGGCUCACACCUGUAAUCCCAGCACUUUGGGAGGCCAAGGCAGGUGGAUCACGAGGUCAGGAGUUCAAGACCAGCCUGGCCAACAUGGUGAAACCCCGUCUCUACUAAAAAUACAAAAAUUAGCUGGGCAUGGUGGUGCGUGCCUGUAAUCCCAGCUACUCGGAAGGCUGAGGCAGGAGAAUUGCUUGAACUGGGACCCGGGAGGCAGAGGUAGCAGUGAGCUGAGAUCGCACCACUGCACUCCAGCCUGGGCAACAGAGCCAGACUCUGUCUCAAAAAAAAAAAAAAGAUAAUGAAAAAAUUAAUUACUGUACUACUAACAUUUAACUUACUGUGUGCCAGGCAUUGUGUUGCUCACUUUACAAGUAAAGGUCUCCAAUAUAAAAUAAACAAAACAAAACCUCAAACUGUGUACCUGGGAUAUUCUACCUACCUUGGGACCCAGGAAGAUUUAAAAAUGCUUGCAUUGGCUCAAAAUUCUGCUGCAAAUACAGUGAUAAUUUCAGGUCAUUGGCCUUCUGGUAGUUCUUCAAGGCUUCAAUUCUCAGCUCAAUCACUUUGCCAUGAAAAUCAUUCUGAAAGAGAAUAUUUUCCAAAACUACACAUAUAGGAUUGGCUUCUCUGAAUCCAUUGUUACCUGAAUCCUCUUUACCCAGAAGUUAAAAAGUAAUUCCAUCAUGCUCAGUCUUUAAAAGUUGGGUAGAAAGUAUUUGUGAUUUUUCCCCAUUUAGAAUAGAACGAAAUCAAGAAUAUAGGAAGAAAUACCAUUUAUUCCAAGUUCAGAGAUAGGUCCCUUCAGCUAUCUUUCUAUGAUACAUUUGUUUUAGCAGGGCAAUCGGUAAUCUAGGAUGUGGGGACUGGGCUUCACAAUAUGCAGCUAAAAGCCUUUGUAUUAUAUGAAUGAAAUUGCAUCCUAUAUCCAGCCUUGGAAGAUCUUAGUACCUGAAGGAUGUUAUUUUGUUCCUGAUACUUGACCCAUUCCAUUUUCCUCUGUUGCUUUUCCUGGUGGAAGAAAGAGCCUCUGGGUGACAAAGUAAAUUGAGAUCAGCAAUCAGUUUUCUCAAUAUGCUGCAAAAGCCUUAUAGCAAAAUUAUAGUGUCGCAGAUUUACUAUUAAAUUGACUUUAACUGCACAAUUCUCUUAAUUGGCCUCAACUGUACAAGCCAUCCUCUAAAAGCUAAUGAAUAGGGUUAUUUUAUGUUGGUGAGUUGGUUAUGGGAAGAUGAGAUACCAGCAUACUACCACUGAAUACAUUUUCAAAGACAAAUGAACGGAAGUUCUGACAUCAUUUAGCUGUUGCAGAGUUAUCAUUGUUGGUAUAGCUUCUCUCACUUUUUCGUAAUAUGAUUUCCCAGAAACUUGUGAUAUCACUCUAACUCAAAUAUAGUAACACAAGGGAACCAAAUCUAUAAAAAUUGGCAUUGGUCCAAGAGCACACCAUACCUUAGGCAAAUUACUACAACAUUAAAGAUUUCUAGUUUACUAGCUCUAAAAGCCACUGCCAUUCAGAAUGGCUGUACUACCUUCCUUAUCUCCUUCACUUUCUCUGCAAAUGAUUUCUCCAGUUCACUCUCAGUCUUCCUAGGUGAUGAGGGGGAUUUGGGAGCCUGGGAUGAAAGAAGAGAGCUAAAGGAAUAAGAGGUCCUAGGAAAGAAGUGCAAUGUCUCAGCAGGCCAUAAAUCUAAUAAACCCUAAAAACCCAGAUCCUACCUAUCUGCCUACCCAAAUUAGCCCUGAUUGUCAGCAGGCUGUUUCCAGCUGUGUGACAUCGACAAUCUUGAAAUUUUAAGUACAUGCAGUCCACUUGCCUUUCCAUCCUGCAAGUCUGCCUUGUUUUUUGUCUGUGGUGCUUUUUGUUGAUCACUAAGUUCUUCUGCCUCGAAUGUCUGUGGAAAGACAUUUUGGCAAAGCUUUAAAGUAGUGGAAAUUAAAGAGGGAAGUGGAAAACCAAUAUGGGUCAAGGUUUUGGUUCCUGCCAGUCAGCAGCUUCUCAGGGCCUGGCAUGAAAAGUGUACUACCAAAGGGAGUUGAGAAUGUAAUGAGCCCUUCCUUUCAUUCAGUCCCUUGAGUGUACCUUAUAGGAAUGAAAACUAUUAGCUGGACCCUUAGCCAGUCACUACUCUAAGCUACUUACUGCAUUACUCUGCUUAUUUUCCUUACUGUACUGUAUUGCAGACAUUCUCAUUUAAUCCUCACAAUUCUUUGAGGACCAUUUUUAUUUCCAUAUUAUAGAUGAGAAACCUGAGACUUGGAGAGGUUAUUUGUUUAGGGUUACACAACUAGGAAAGUACAGAGUUGGAAUUUGAACCAGAUCUUUCUGAUUCUGAAGCCUGUGUUCUUGACCACUAGGCAUGCUGUUCUUCUAAAAUAUGAGUAGGGAAAGUUGAUCACAGGUUAAGUGUAUAGAUGUCCCUUUUGAGAGCUCUGUAGAAGCUGGAUUUAGAUAGAGGAAUUGUGCUGGCACAUUUCCUAUUACGAGGACUCAAGAACCCAGGAACUAAAACUUCUGGAAAUUCAUAGAACUAAUUUGUAACUGCCCACGAGAACCUGGAGCAGAUCUCAAUACAAGAUGCAGGGCUUGAAGGUAUUCUGAUUAUUUGUGGAAAAGUCAGAUGAAAAAAAAAGACAGAGAUCACACUAUAUAUCUGUUUAUAUCACAAGACACAGUCUACUCUUCUAGUUGCAUAGUCUGUAAAGAAGCACUUGGGUCCCAAGGGAUUAGUCUUGGACAAAGUCUCGGACAAGGGACAAAGGAAUUCCCUGUCCCCUUCCCCCUACUCCCUGGCUCUGGUUUCCCAGCAAAAGGCCCUAAUAUUGUUAUCUUAAACAAUGUGGUGAUUGCUGUAAAAUUAUAAGGGUAUUGGAAUUAGGUAUUCAUUUGUUUAUUCAUCCAACUUACAUGUAUUGAUUCUCUACUAUGUUCCAAGCAUUGUGCUAGGAGCUAUAGAUUUGGACAAAGCAAUCAAGAUAUUGAAGGAGCUUGAGAAGAUACAGGAGGAGGCAGGGAAACAAGAAACAAUUUAAAAAGUAAUAAUAAUACAAUAAUAAUAAUUUUAUAUUAUAAACAGUGCUAUUGAGCACAUAAGCAGAGUUAUAUAAUAGAAAAGGGGAGGAGGAUGCCCUACUUUAGAUGGAGCAAACAAGGAUGGCUUCUCUAAGGAGAUGACAUUUAAGCUGAGACCUGAAGGAUGAGAAUGAGCCAACCAUGAGAAAAUAGCAUUACAGGCAGUGGAGAAGGCAAGAGCAAAGUCCUUGAGAUAGGAAAAAGCUUGGCAUGUUUGAGAAACCACAAGAAGCCAGUGGCAUGGUUGCAUAGAAAGCAAGGGAAGGACAUCUAUGAGAGGAAACUGGAGAAUAGGCAAGAGCCAGAUUAUGCCACAAUUAGUGGCUGUAAAGGUUUUUCAUAAGAAGAGUAACAUGCUUUGAUUGUUUUAAAAAGAUCACCUUGGCUGCUGUGUAGAGAAUGGAUUGGAAUGAGGCAUGGGUGGAAGCAAGGACAUGAAACAAUGAGGAUGGGGGCCAGAGGAAAGGGAGGUUCUUUGCGUUGUGAUCUGUAGGACAAUACUUUCAAUAGAUCCUUAGAGGCACACCUUGUUCCAUAGCAUCUCCAUUUCCUUCCGAAGCAUCUUGUUUUUCCUUUCCUGUUGGAGGGGGAAGAACCAAACAAACAGAAGCAUGUAUUUGUCCAGCCAUUGAAGUGGGUUUGGAAGAAGUUACUAAGUAAUAGUGGAAAAAGGGUCCAGGGACAUAGUAAACCACAGAGGAAGGCAAUGAAUGGGUCUAAUCCCAAAUCCAGGAGCAUAAGAGAUGUUUGAUGAUGAUGAUGGUAAAAAAAAAACCAAGUUAUUGUUUUAAGUAAUAACUUUAAUUAUAAUAAUUGUGAGACAGUAUCUAUAGAAAUGAGUUCCUAACACUUAAGAUGCUCUUAUGUGGCCAUUUCUUGGGGGCUUAGACCACUAAUUUUUAAUUUUUAAGAUCCUUUACAUUGCUGAUUGAAAGAAAAUCUUGUAAGAAUCCUGCAGAGCAAACUAUUUCUUUUCUUUUACUUUGAUAGGUAUUUUCUAUUCUUUAUAGCAAAUAUUUUACUAUUCUUUCUGAAAUGUGAAGAGUUAAUAUGGUUAUAUUCAUUAAUUCCCUAGAUAAAAAGUUUUUAAAAGUCAAAGAAUAGAAUUUUUGCUUGCUAGUCGUGUUCUUCCCAACAUUCCAUCUGACUCCUUUUGGGUCACCCUGGACUUUCUAGAUCAAGGAGAUAUGAGUGUUGGAGCAUCAGAUGCUAGAGAUGAGUACUCUGUCUUUCUCUCCACAUCUGACACUGCAAUGGAAUUGAGCCCUAUUCAGGAGGCUGUUCCUGGAGUCCCUCCUACUUCUUACCAAGUUCUGUUUCAUCUCCUCUGCUUCCUUAAGGAGCUCCAUGACCGAGGAUUCCUCACACCCCUUCCCUGCCAUGAUCUGUCUCAUGAUCUGAAGACUAGAAGAAAGAGAGGCAUCAUAAAACAUACAUACCUCCUUAAGGGUAAUACUGAUGUUCUGCAACUAGUCAGAAAGUACUCUACCAUGAAAGUUAGAUGGCGACUGAAAUAUCAGGAGUUAUGGAAGCCCUUCUGGUCAUAGAAGAUCUCUGUAACUAAGAUGUUUCCAUUUCUAAUUGACAUUUGCCUAUCUAUGUGCUCUAGAAUGAAUUCUGUGCUCUUUAAUGCUUAAAACUUAGGUCUCCAACAGCCAGGGAGAGUCCUUUCCACCCCCUCAGAAGAAUGUUGCAGUGUGUGACUUUUGGGAGAAGAAGGGGUAAUUCUGCCCCCUUUAUAAGAAGAGGUUGAAGAACCUGCUAUCUUCUAGGAUAAAUCCCAGAGUUAUUUCCUAACCCAUCUCUGUCCUCUGUCCACUUUCUCCCACUUCCUUGCUUCUUCCUAUGAGGACAUUUGAGUCUAUUGGGGAAGUCACUGAUAUCCUUUCAUAGCCCCAGAGAAUGCAAGCCAUUAAGAAGUUCUAACAAAAUCUAAAUCAAAAUCAAGUCCUUGUGAGAGAGGAUAUUCCUUAAAGGCAUAAAUUAUUUUAUAUUUGUGUUCUUGUACUUUUUUCUCCCCAGUUCUAAGCGAAGAACACAAUUCUAAGACUUUGUGUUUUCUUGCUCUGAGAGAAGUCUAUUUUGCUGAGUUGUAAGCAGCUGGUGCUUGUUGCUGAGUUGUAAGCAGCUGGUGCUUGACCACAACUUUCUGCCUGCGUUUUGUUCUCCAAAAAUAUGAGUCCUUUGAGAUGCUUAUGAUAAGGGUAUAGAAUAAAGAUAGACUCACUGAGGAGAGAGGUUCUGAGACUAGAAAGGAAACAGAGUUUGUGGGUCCCAAGUACAGUGAGUGCUCUGGUAAAGAGUUAAGACUUCAGCUGCCUAGUAUAUUUAGAGAGGCUGUGCCCUAAUUCAGAGGGCUCCUAGGCUUAGAAAAUACUGCCAUUCCACUGCUUGGCAUAGAAAGAGCAGAGUUAUUUAUUCUAAAGUGAUCAUGCAUAAGAAAGCAUCUGUGUGACCGUGGUAAACUAAUGCUAUUAAAAGCGUUUCACUAUUUCUUGGGUGGGCAGCCUGGGGAGGAAGAGUUAUAACUAGCCCCACGAAAUGAGGGCUGAGUCAUAUUUAAUUUACUAAAAGAAAAUAAAGGAUUUGUUGUCACCCUGACUUGGUAGUUACAAAUUGUUUGCCUGCUACAGCUGAAUGUCCAAACCUUUAGUAAUUAACAAAAAAAAAAAUUGUAAGUAAUUAUUGCCAGUCCUUUGGAGAUCAAGUUCUCCAGCCUUUUUACCUCUAGGAAUCCAGAGUAAGAGCCCGUACCUCCUUUGUUUUUCCUCCAAGUUAGACAUUAACUUUUGAAAUAAGAGGUUGUUUUUAUCUUCUAGAGGUUUGAGCAUCUCUAGCAGUUCCUGCUUCCUUAGCUUUAAGUCCUCAUUCAAUUCCUUCAAGUAGUUGUCAUCUAUUUUAGAACUUCUGUGGGAAGAGGCACAAUAAUAUCUGCCUUUAGCCUGGGUUGAGAGAGAGAGAGAGAGAGAGAGACCCUCUUUUCUAUUCAGCAUUUUCCAUCAAAGACUCACCUUAUUUCUGAGGGCAGGUAAGAUCCUGAAGAGUUUGCACCACUUGUCAUCUUGAAGGGUAACUUCUAAGAAUAAAGAGGCCUUCCUGAAAAUAUGUGCCUUUUUUUCUAUCCAGUUAAGUCAUUAUUUUUGUGCUGCUGUUCUUGAAACUCCUGCUGCAGUGGACUGAUCUUAGCUACAGCGAGGUCACAAUGGCCCUAAUACCACAUAAUCAACAGGUCUUUAAAGUAAUUUCAACAUCAAUGGCAGUUUGUUGACUGGAAAUACUAACUACAUCUGAUCAGUUCUUGCCUUAGAUCUAGCCAAAUGACAAAGUUUUAUUCUGAAGUCUUUGAAUGAAUAGGAUGGAAUCACAUCAUAUCUACUUUUGUGUUAGAAAAUGUUGGACUGUCAAAAACGACUCAUCAACACCUUCUUUCAUGGCAACAAACCUCUGUGAAAUGCCACUAUCUGUAGAGCACAGUGACAGAGUCUGCAAAUGAAGAAAAGAUAAAGACACAGCAUAUACCUUUUGGGGGCCUCAAGAGGAAGAAGGAAUACUUCUAAGAGACUUUUUUUUAAAAGAGAUCAAACUGGCAAAUACAGGGUAUGGAUAUAAUAGAAUAAUAUAAUAUAUAAGCCACUGUCAUUAUUUUUCAAUCUUUAAAAUUUGAUAUUAUCAUAAUGGCAGGUAAAAGAAUAUUGGACAUGUAGGAAGAGGAUUUAAUUUGUGAAAGAUCCAUAUCGUCAGUAUGUCCUUCCAUAACCACACUCUUCCCUGAAAGAUUGUGUAAUAAUUCUAGCCUCCCUUCAGGAUUUUCUGGUUCUGCUUCUAUUUUCUUUUUUAUUACAUUUCUUUUACUACAUUUCUUUUGGACCUUAAGAUCUCUUGUCUUCAUCUAUGUCACUUAUUGGAAGGUAACCCAGUUAUACAUUUGUUUUUUUUUCAUGCCUUUUAAACACAGUUUUAGAGAAGUAUUUUUAGUGAAGGUCUCAAAGUGAGUUAAGUCAUGUCAAUGUCAAGUACUAACUGAACACUUCCAGCCAUUUUCUAGGGGUGUUCUCCAAAGUAACUUAACCCCUUUAUGUUGUGGGAAACAUUAAAGGGAGAGUAUUAUAAUGGAAAUAACACAAGAUUUAGUUUGUCAGACUUUGGUUUGGAUCUCAGCUUCACUGUGCAUAGUGAGCUGCUUGUGAGCAAGUUACUAAAUUUUCUGAGUCUCAGUUUCUGCUUUUGUAAAAGUGAGAAAGGUAAUAUCGACCUGAUAGGUUCGUUGUGAGUAUGAAAUGUAUUAUGUACAGAGCUUGGUUCAUGUUAGAUGUUCCCAUUUUAGUGAGUUUGUGUUUAUUUGGUUUGGGUUUUAGGAUUGCUUAAUGCCUCAGUUAAGUGGUCAGAUACAGAAAGGGUGAUUUAUAUGAGGCUAAUGAAACUUAAACUUUAGAGCCCUUUAUUUUCACAGACCUCUUCCAAAGGCCCUGAACCUCAUUUUGUAUUCGUAAUUUUGUAUUCUUUUUUGGAAAGACAGACCACUCCAAAUUAUGUGUUUUAGGGGCCCACAAAACAAAGAUCUGCUUCUGGUUAAAUAGGAUACAUAGCUCUCCUAAGUAUCCUCUACAUCAAAACUUCUUUGGUAGUCUCUACACAUACUUCUCUUUUUUUUGAGGCAGAGUGUUGCUCUGUUGCCCAGGCUGGAGUGCAGUGGCACAGUCUCAGCUCACUGCAACCUCCACCUCCCGAGUUUAAGCGAUUCUCGUGCCUCAGCCUCCUGAGUAGCUGGGAUUACAGGUGUGCACCAUCACACCCAGCUAAUUUUUGUAUUUUUAAUAGAAAUGGGGUUUCACCUUCUUAGCCAGGCUAGUCUCAAACUCCUGACCUCAAAUGAUCCACCUGCCUUAGCCUCCCAAAAUGCUUGGAUUACAAGUGUGAGCCACCAUGCCUGGCCUACAAAUACCUUUACAACAUAUAUAUGUCACUUGUAAGUUUUGGAUGAUACCUGGUGUAAUAUGAUGUUAAAUUAGGACAGCCAUAUCAAAUCAUAUAUAAUUCACAUUGGUUGCCCUAGGAAUUUCCAUGAAAAGUUUGGAUUGAAUGAGGGUGAGAAAACGCCUCACAGUUAAAAAAAAGAAACUGGUUGGAUGAAUUAUCAUUAGUAGCAUCUUUGACUGCAUAUGUGACAGGUGGUAGCAAAUAGUAGAGGACAAAAAUGGCAUUGAUCGCUAAAGUAUUGCCUCUCUAAAUUUCAUGUUGUGAUACUUGGUUGGCAGAACUAUGAUAGAAUUUUGAAACAUUUAAUGGGCAGUAGCAGCCCAACUUACCUUCAUUUCUGUUCUUGAUUAUGAAUGAUUCAAAGAGGAAGAGCACUUGCUAUAUAUAUAUAUAUAUAUAUAUAUAUAUAUUUUUUUUUUUUUUUUUUUUUUUUUUGAGAUGGAGUUUUGUUCUUGUUGCCCAGGCUGGAGUGCAGUGGUGCAAUCUCGGCUCACUGCAGCCUCCGACUCCCGAUUUCAAGUGAUUCUCCUGCCUCAGCCCCCCAAGUAGCUGGGAUUUCAGGCAUGAGCCCCUGCGCCAGGCCAACACUUGCUAUUUUGAUGUGCUGUAUCUAUAGCCAAUCAGCACCUUUUAUUUCUUGUCUUUCCAAUGCCCAUUUGUUAACUUGCAAUAUUAAUUCCAAGGAGAAUAUUUGCCUUGUAAUAAUGUAUAUAGAGUUUUUAGUAAAUAGCUUAGAAACCAAUGAACAGUAUUAAGAGGGGAUAGCAUGAUAAUGAUCCCCUGGAACAGGGGGAAGGGCACAUUAAGAUGUAGAUGACCAUUAGAGGUGGGAGGAAGGGAAAUUGAACACAAAUUUUUUCUGAUGUAGAAAAUUAGGUCAUCUCUUGAUUGAGGAGGUGUGGCAGGAAACCUCAGAAGAGUAAUUACAUGAGAUUUGGAAGAGCACCUGAGCACUGGAAAAGGAAGCCAACCAGGCAAAAGUAAAAGGAUUGCCAAGUAGUGCAAAGGGUCAAGGUGAAUUUGGAAAUUGCAGAUUUGGCAUGGCAUGAAUCAGCAGUUACACAAUUUUCUCCAGCAGUACUUGGCAAACUAGAAGCAAUAGUAGAGAGAACGAGAUGGUUGUUUGACUCUGAGCUGGGACUUGGCAGAAUAGAUAAGCAGAAGUUCAAGGGAGCACUGAGAGUGCUGGUGAGAGUAUCCAUCAAAAGGUUGAUGAUAGUGUUCAAGCUAAGCAGGGAAGAAAAGGAAGGGGGUUGCUAAGAGAGGGGAAAACAGACCAGGGUCUGAUAUUGUGGGGUGUGGGGGUAGAAGAACAAAGGUUAUGGUCAAGUAACAUAGUGCUUAUGAAAUAACUUGUGGAAACUCAUCCUGUUUAGAUAAAUUAUAGGAACAAUUCUAUAAUUUUUUUCUGCAGUAAACUUUCUAUCUGUUGCUUCCUAUCACAGCAUAAUAUUCACUGAAAUUCAUGUGGUCUCUUAAAAUAGGCCUUAUAACAAGCUAGUCACAAUGACCUCAUCCAACAUUAGAGCAUUUGACUUUAGUAUCUGUUGAGGAAACGUGUGAUUGCUCUAUAGUUAGAGAACUUGGAGCAAUACCAUUUUAGUGUUGGUUUUGCCGGUGGAAAAUCAGAUUAGUCUAAUUAAGCCAGGUCUCCAAGAGUAGAGGCAAUUAUUUUCAUAUUAAACAAAACAAAACAAAAAAGGAGAUGCUUUCCUAUCCUCAGCUUUGUUUGUGGCAACAAAAUUACAGAAUUCCUCAGGGAGAAAACAUGAGGACCUUCUGGUCCUGUCAACCCAGAGCCAAUUCAACCCUUGGGGGAAUUAUAAGAAUUUCAUUAAAAUAAGGAGAGAAGGACUGGCUCUCCUAACAGCAAGGCUUGUUGGCUCUUAAAGAUCUCCCACAUCUUCCUGUGCUGUUUGUUAUGAACAUUUUGUUGGCUCCUUCUCCUUAACCCUUGCUGUAGCUAUCUCAAGUCAGGCUAUACCUACCUACAUUUAGAUUAAAUCCAGGGAGUUGAGAAGACUGAGAUAAAUGUUGGGACACAUUAAUUUUCUGUAAUAUUAUUGAAGUCUUUUUGAAAGUAAUUCAUUCUCUCAGUGUGUUCAGAUACAUUGCACAGUGGUCUUCAAACUGAGGUUUGUGAACUUUCCUCAAGACUUUUUGAGAAAUGUGGAAGCAAGAGUAGUUUUUAGAAAAGCUUUUCUGAGAUCCUCAAUUUCCACAAAUAUUCUUUACUAAAAUGAAUCUGCCUGAGAAUGUCCCUUGGCCUCUUUUCCCACCUCCCCUUUUCCAAUCAUGCUUCAUCCACUUGUUAAAAGAAUGGAAUACUUUUCAACCAUCUGGAAUCUUACUUGGGGUAGUUUAAUGCCCUAGAGGCUUUUACACAUCCCUUUUACACAUCUAGAGCAUUAAACUAAUCAUAUUUCAAAAUGUUGGUGCUAGGAUUAAAGAGAGUAAAUGGCUAUUAAUGACUGGAUUAUAAAUUCGUUUGCAGGUUAGGUGAUUUCCAAUUCUGUGCUGUUAACAAAAUUGAAGGAAGACCUAAUAAAAUUGUCAGCUUAAACUUAAUAAAAUUAAAUUUUGAUGAUAAAUUAUCUAUGAUUUGGGGUUUAUAAUUCAGAAGAAGUUCAAAGAUUUGAGUGACAUUGCUAUAACAAAAUACUUUCCAUUCCCAUCUCCUUAUUUGUGUAAACACUCAGUGAGUAUUGUAUGUAAAGCAAAGCAUAUGAAUAAAAUUGAUGCUUAAGCUUGUCUUAUUCUAGUAAUAAGUAAUACUCACCAAUGAAUACAUGAACUAACCAGGGAACAAAACAGCCUAUCCAUCAAAUUAAUAGAAGCACUUUCCAAAAAUUGUCAUAAUUAAAAAUUAGUUAUGAAAUAUAUAUAAUAUGUAUGUUUUUGUUAAUUGUAUACUAAUAACAAUUACAAUGCUAACUUAGUUCUGAAGAAAUGUUAACACAGUCUUAACGUCACAAAAACUAAAACAAAAUUUCAAUGUACAUAUUUUGCAGAGAAGCAUGAUGGGAUGUUAAAAAAGACUUUAAAACAUAAAAUACAUUGCAUUAGAAUAAAUUUCUAUGGGGACAGUGUAAUGGAAACAUGAGUUCAAGGAGAAAAUGUCAAAUUUUUGACUGUUGUAGAAGAGUUUUUCAUUUAUUUACAUUUCAUUAAGUAUGAGUAUUUAAGACUCGUUGGAUACAUUUUAAGGUGAUAGAUAAGACUUAUUUGAAAAUAUCAGUAUUACAAUAAACCAGAAAUUAUAUGUUUUGCAACUGUAUAAAAUUAGAAUAAAAAAUUGAGAUGGCAACUUAAAUGUGACACUGUACUUAGUUUUUCAAAAUUCUUUUAUAACACACAAGCAAAAAAAGCCUGAAGACCACUGUUCUGGGACAGAGGUUCUCUUUCUGAUGGGAUUUAAGAAUCACUUGGGGAGCCUGGAAAAGCUGCAUCUCCUCAGGGUUAUCCCCCAGAGAUUCCUACUCUGUAGAUACGAAGAACGUGAGGUUUUAAAAAGCACUCGCUAAUCCCUGGUGGUUCUGAUGCGGGAUCUGUGGAGCUAUGACUGAGAAUUACUGCUUCCAGGUUUCUUCUCCAAUCACAGCGUAUCAGCCAAAAGCUGUUUACUUGAAUUGUUUUUGUUUUUUUUGAGUGGGAGUGGGGGCAUCUGUAGAACUUACCUCCUGUGUGACAUUUUGUGUCACAUAUUCACCUUGCAUUUGGGAUACCCUGAGUAAGUUUUAUGAAGCCAUUCCUGCAUUUGUAAAGAAAAUUAUCUAAGACGUCUUUCCAUGACCAGCUCUCCCCAGCUGCCACUACUGUCCACAUAUCAUAAAUUUCUUUCAGAAUUAGAUACUAAAGAAAAUGUUGCUUCUUUGGGGAAAUAUUGGCAUGUAUUUUUCCUUAGGGACAAAUCAGUAAACUGGUUUUGUUUUUAUUUUCUUUUGGUAUGCAGGGGAUCUCAAAGCAAUUUUGUGACCAGACAUGUGAGACCCAACCCCUGUUUAUGACUUUCUAAUCUAAUUAAUACUUUUUUGUGCCUGAUUUUUUAAUCAUUUUUUCUUAUUUUCAUAAACCUCCUCAAUCCUUUGUAGAGAAGUAUAAAUAAGUAACCAAAUGAGCAAAAAUAAUUCUCUGUAUAUAUUUUUAAGAUGUAUGGAAUACAAUAGAUUGGAAGAAAAACUAUAUUCUACUUUACCUAGUGUGUGUGUGUGUGUGUGUGUGUGUGUGUGUGUGUGUGUGUCUGUAAAGAAAGUUUACUUUGCUUCUGGAAGCAGAGUAGAUUUUUGAAAUUUACUAUUAUAUUUUGGGUGCACUCAGCUAAUAAAGUAUAUUGGGGUUUUAGGUACACAUCUGGGUAAAGGGAUGUGGGACAGACUAGACAGGCUUGGGGAAUAGCUGGAUGCCCAGGCUUCAGUUCCAUCAGGGAACAGUAGCACAUAGCAAAUAAGAAAAGGAAGUAGAAUCUAUUAAUGUGGAGCAAUCCAAGUCAAUAGGGCUUCCUAGUCCACAGAAUUCCUUUUAAAAGAGGUUCAGAUCCCAUAGGCUGGUGACCAUGAAGGUGCCAAUAUUCCUCCAAAUAUACCUUAAAUCUUUUAAGAGCCUUUCAAACUAAUUUUUGGUAGACAGUAGAAGCUGAAUCAUUUACUUGUCUUACAUUUUUUGAAUCCUAUUAUGUGUUCUAGACCUGCCUAGCCCCAAGAUUACAAAGUCAAAUGAGACAAAUAAGACAAAAUUCUUGCUCUUAGGACUUUUUAGGCUUAGAUCAGAUUUCUGUGAGGGCUGCUAGUCUCCUUUGGUAUUAGAAAAAGAUAUCCCCUCUAGGCAAAUCCCCUCUAGGCAAAGUUAGGAAAUGAUUUUCAUAAUAAUUUUAGAGGGGAAAAUGAUUUCCCCUCUAAGGCUCCUCCUGAGGGGGCUUAGAGGGGAUAUCUUCCUUCCUUGAUGAAAGAAGCCCCCACUUCCUUCUUAGUGAGAGUGUCUUUAUCAGGUAACCACUAGCACAACCACAUGCCUGCUAGAUGCCUUAAAUGAGAGAAACUGGCAAAGUGGGAGUGCUAAGUGCAAGCACUGAGCCCAUUGCAGCAGGGACUGUGCAGGGUUACAGGAGAGCAGAGGCCUUGUCUACAGUAGGGUGUGGGGAUGGGGAAUCAGCUCCAGCUGAAAAUGUAGAGACGUAAUCCUGACAGUUCCUAAUGAUUUUCAAGAGUAGCUGGAAAUGUGAAUUUGUUGUGACUUUUGACUUUUAAAUAUUGUGUAGAGUAAAUACAUGCUUGGAGGCUGCACCUGGCCUUCAGGCUGUCAUUUUGUAUACUCAAUCAGUCUUUUUCUGUGCUAGGUUUUUCUUUUUUUGCAAUGAAAUAACGAUUUUUAAAGAAGGCAUUUAAUCCAGGUAAUUCAAGGAUUGUUUUGCUUAAAUUAUAUGAAAUGCCAGUUUGAUCUUAUUACCUAAUUUGAUAGAUUUAGAUUCAGUGUGUCAGAGAGUGAAUGACAGAAGUAACACUUUUAAAAUAAAAUGAGAAAACCCAAAAGAACAAAUAUUCUUGACACCUAUGAUUAGGCAUUAUAGGGGACAUAGAAAAGUACUAAAUAGAUAAAAUAUAAAAUUUGUAAAGGGCUGGGUUAUAUAAUACAUCUCAAAUUAGAUAAUCUAGUCAUAUUCCACAGCCAAAAUAAAAAGUAGUCUCCAUAGUCUAAACUGAGCAAAAAUUAUCUAGUUCUGCGUUAGCUACUCAUAUAGGCUCAUCUGCCACCUCUACUGAAAUGAUUGAACAACCUAAAGUAUGCCACUGGUAUAAUUUUCUCAAUUUAACAAUAACCAUCUACAAUAUUAGGCACUACAAAAUAAAAAUAACCAAAUUAUGUACCCUUGCCCCAUAUGCUGCUUCAAUAAUGACAUUUGUCAUAUUAGGCCUUUUUUCUGUAUAGUAGCAUUUUUCCAUCUUUUAUUUGCAUUUGUAUUUGCAAAUAAAAAAUGAUAUAUAAAUAAAUGAUAAUUAGGAAAAUAUAAAGAAGCAGAGUCUGAACAGGUUCUGUAUAUUUUUUAAAGGCUGUGUAAGCCCUAGGUGACAACUCUGAGAAUCUUCUGGCUUUAUAAGCUGGUCAUUUUCCAUGUAAAAAAAAUUUUUAUUCUGAGACUUGUUUAAUAUACCAGAUCUGACUCCCUUUCCAAUUUCAGUUUGGAUGCACUGUGGCAAACGUUCUGAAUGUUAUAAAAUGAGAUAUCAAAUGAAAUACUAUUUAUGAACCACAAAAUCAUUUUAAAUAAAUGAAGUUUUAUUACUUGAGUACAUGUAUUAGAAACUGGUCUAUAACCCAAGCAGCGUUUACUAAAAAUUAAAUGAAGGCCAUUACAUAUAGUAAUAUAUCAUGAUAAUAAAUCCCUGAAUUAGGAUAUUAACUCUAAAUCUUUAAAUUAAAUCAGGACUAGUUACUCCUUUGUCCAAAUGGUCAAAAAGCUUGAUCUAAGGUGUUCACAUUAAUUAAAAAUUUUUGUAAGUUAAAUUAUGAUAUAGAUUGACAUUUUAAAAUAUAACUCUCCCAAUUUCAUAAAGAAGUUUAAAAAGGUUAAACGUCUUAAUGACUAUGCUGGGACUUCCUUUAUAAAUCCACUCUUGGGCAUGUGAUUAUGACAUGCCCAAGAGAGAGAUAGAUACAUUCUUUUGUCUUGCCCAUUGAAUAGACUCAAUAAUUAACAAAUUGGAUUGGAGUAGGUAGUUGCAAGUAUCAGCAUUUUUCAGCUUGAAACUUUUCUUACAUGUAGCCAACACUAUUAUUUGCCUACAUCAAUGUUACUUCCUCUUUUGUCCAUAUGUUCAGUCCCAGGGUUAAAAUCACAAUUGAUCUGAACCAACUGUGGCAAUUCACAUCCUCUUUGCCAGUGACAGGUCUGAGAAUGGACAUGGGAUUCAGUCCUGGCUAGUGAAACAUGAGGUGAAGCCUUCUGGGGUUUCUGGGCAAAUUUUUUCUUUCUCUUUAAUAAAAGGAGGAAAACAAUGACAAGUAAAAAGUAUAUUUUCUUUACAAUGUCUUUUCUACUUUGGAUAUGGUCCUAAAAGGACAGGAAGCUUGGAGCUACUCUGGCUGUUUUGUAACAAUAAGGUAGAAGGCCAAGAGAAUUAUGGAGAAACUGACCCAAUACCCUGAGAUGGUGGAACUGCUGAAACAAACUUUGAACCGCUACGUCCAGACUUCUUUUACAUGGAAAAAAAUAUAUAUUCCUUUAUUGUUUAAGCCACUGAUAGCUAGAUUGUUUGUUACUUCAGCUGAAUAUAUUUUUCCUUGAAUACCAUAUAAAUGCAGGGCCAGUAUUGUGCCAGAGCCAGCUUACACUGGCUUGUGAGAUGAUUGUGCCUAUCUGUUUCCAAUUCCACAUUCAGUGACUUUAAAUCAUCUGGGGUGAAUAGUCACACUCUGGAACCAGGCCAAAGAUACAUAUCCGAGCUGUUUUCACCAGAGAGCUGGUUGUUGAAAACAUUUAUCAGCAUCACACCACUAGGUGACUUACAUUAACUCCUACAGAUAAUGUCAUAGCAACUACUAUGCUACCUAUCAUCUUUUAAAGUGCAUUUUUAAUAGUAAAUGGGUAAUAAGUUAUAUCAAGACAUUUUUAAUUUGUGGAAUUUUAGAACCAGAGGACAGUUUAGUAAAUUUAAAAACCGAAAUCAAAUACUGGGUGAUUUUAAAACUAAUCUAACAUUAUAUAACUAGUUAAUAGCAGAGUUGAGUCUCGAAUUUGACUCUUUAUUCCCAUUUUGGUGAUUUUUCCAGUAUACCAUAUAGCCAUUAUAUUAUUUAUACAAUAAUAAUAAUAAUUCUUUGAGUGCCAACAUCUAUCUUCAAAUCAAAAUAGUAAGUUAGCAAGAUACUCAAUUUCCGUAUAAAUAGACUGGCCUAGUUUUGAUGAUGCAUAUAAUGUAACAUUUAAUUAUAUAUUGUAAGUUUUGGUCUAUUUAGCAAAGAUACAGACGUUGAAGAAGGCUGACAUAUGGAAACUUAGCAUGACAACCAUGCUUAGCCAACAACCUUCAAUUAUCAUGACUCACACUACUUCCAAUAAGUAACCGGAUGAUCAGAAUUGAGCUUGGAUUCCCCAACUACACCAGAGAUACUCGUACAGAGGGGAAACUGCUACCCACAUCCAUUUUCCAAAGGCUGAAGGACCGUCAGUUGAAGUCUGAGCUCCUCUGCUGAAUUGAAGGUAGACAAUCUUGAAAGAUAGAAACUGCAUUGUGAGAUGAAAUGAAUUUUUAAAGGAUCUAGACUAGACUCUUAGGACAAUGUGAGGCAAGAUUCUGACAACUUAGGUUUGAAAUAGCUAACCAUAUUUGCCAACAAUGAUCAGAUAUUAGAGACACACAAUUCUAGUUAGAGUUCUUAUGGGAGCUUCACAAUGAUAGUGAGAAUAAAAAUUGGUCAAUUUCUGGAAAGCAAUUAGACAAUGUACUGCAUAUCAAGAACCUUAAAAAUAAAGAUUUUGCAAAAUUUUUUAUGUUGAUUGUGGGAUGAUUUGUAUAAGGGAGUUCAUUAUAUUAGUCUCUAUUUUGGAGAACAGUUAAAUUUUUCACAAAAUUUGAAGAAAUAUUGAUAAUAUUUGGCUCAGGAAUUCUAAGUUUUUUUGUAAUUCAUUUUGUGAUUCAUUUUAACAAAAUAGUAUAGAUGAAAAGAUCAGUGAACAUUAUAGAGUGGUGAAAAUUGGAAACAAUCUAAAUUUCUAACAACAGGGAGAUGGAUGAAUAAAUUAUGAUAUAUCCAUACAAGGGAAUGCAAUAGAGUCAUUAAAAUAAUAUUUGGAAGGAUACUUAAUAAAAAGAGUACGUCAAAGUACAUCAAAUAAAACAAUAUGGAACAGUGUAGUCUGUAUGUGUGUAUAUAUGUGCGUGUUUAGAAGAUGAAGAAAAUGCAUUAAAAUCAAAAUAUUCUUCAUGAUUAUAUUAUUAUUCUAUUUUUCUGAGUUUUUCAAGUUUUUUAUAAUGAACAUAUAUAAGCUUUUUAAGUUAAAAAUAACUAUUUUCUUUUUUCUUAAUUAUACUUUAAGUUCUAGGGUACAUGUGCACAAGGUGCCGGUUUGUUACAUAUGUAUACAUGUGCCAUGUUGGUGUGCUGCAUCCAUUAACUCGUCAUUUACAUUAGGUGUAUCUCCUAAUGCUAUCCCCUCCCCCCUCCCCCCACCCCACAACAGGCCCCCAUGUGUGAUGUUCCCGUUCCUGUGUCCAUGUGUUCUCAUUGUUCAAUUCCCACCUAUGAGUGAGAACAUGUGGUGUUUGGUUUUUUGUCCUUGUGAUAGUUUGCUGAGAAUGAUGAUUUCCAGCUUCAUCCAUGUCCCUACAAAGGACAUGAACUCAUCAUUUUUUAUGACUGCAUAGUAUUCCAUGGUGUAUAUGUGCCACAUUUUCUUAAUCCAGUCUAUCGUUGUUGGACAUUUGGGUUGGUUCCAACUCUUUGCUAUUGUGAAUAUUGCCGCAAUAAACAUACGUAUGCAUGUGUCUUUAUAGCAGCAUGAUUUAUACUCCUUUGGGUAUAUCCCCAGUAACGGGAUGGCUGGGUCACAUGGUAUUUCUAGUUCUAAAUCCCUGAGGAAUCGCCACACUGGCUUCCACAAUGGUUGAACUAGUUUACAGUCCCACCAACAGUGUAAAAGUGUUCCUAUUUCUCCACAUCCUCUCCAGCACCUGUUGUUUCCUGACUUUUUAAUGAUCACCAUUCUAACUGGUGUGAGAUGGUAUCUCAUUGUGGUUUUGAUUUGCAUUUUUCCGAUGGCCAGUGAUGAUGAGCAUUUUUUGAUGUGUCUUUUGGCUGCAUAACUGUCUUCUUUUGAGAAGUGUCUGUUCAUAUCCUUUGCCCACUUGUUGAUGGGGUUGUUUGUUUUUUUCUUGUAAAUUUGUUUGAGUUCUUUGUAGAUUCUGGAUAUUAGCCCUUUGUCAGAUGAGUAGAUUGCAAAAACUUUCUCCCAUUCUGUAGGUUGCCUGUUCACUCUGAUGGUAGUUUCUUUUGCUGUGCAGAAGCUCUUUAGUUUAAUUAGAUCCCAUUUGUCAAUUUUGGCUUUUGUUGCCAUUGCUUUUGGUGUUUUAGACAUGAAGUCCUUGCCCAUGCUUAUGUCCUGAAUGGUAUUGCCUAGGUUUUCUUCUAGGGUUUUUAUGGUUUUAGGUCUAACAUGUAAGUCUUUAAUCCAUCUUGAAUUAAUUUUUGUAUAAGGUGUAAGGAAGGGAUCCAGUUUUAGCUUUCUCCAUAUGGCUAGCCAGUUUUCCCAGCACCAUUUAUUAAAUAGGGAAUCCUUUCCCCAUUUCUUGUUUUUGUCAGGUUUGUCAAAGAUCAGAUAGUUGUAGAUGUGUGCUAUUAUUUCUGAGGGCUCUGUCCUGUACCAUUGGUCUAUAUCUCUGUUUUGGUAUGAGUACCAUGCUGUUUUGGUUACUGUGUCCUUGUAGUAUAGUUUGAAGUCAGGUAGCGUGAUGCCUCCAGCUUUGUUCUUUUGGCUUAGGAUUGACUUGGCAAUGCGGGCUCUUUUUUGGUUCCAUAUGAACUUUAAAGUAGUUUUUUCCAAUUCUGUGAAGAAAGACAUUGGUAGCUUGAUGGAGAUGGCAUUGAAUCUAUAAAUUACCUUGGGCAGUGUGACCAUUUUCAUGAUAUUCAUUCUUCCUACCCAUGAGCAUGGAAUGUUCUUCCAUUUGUUUGUAUCCUCUUUUAUUUCAUACUGUACUACAAACGUAGACCAUAUACCUGCAGCCAUUGGAUCUUCAACAAACCUUCUUGCUUUGAAGGGCAGAUGGGGUCCUGGGUCAAAACUGAGUGAGUGUUCCAAGGUGAAUGGAAUGAUUUCCAAGCUAAGUGUAAUUCCAAGGUGGGUGGAAUGAUUUGGGAAAGGUGCUAAUGCUUCUUUGUAUUUGUAAUACCUACUAGAGUGCUUGGCAUUUGUAGAUAAUUAAAUUUGUUUGUUAAAAGCAUGUGUGAUUAUCUGAGGAUAUUAGGAGUGAGAAUGCAAGCCAGGUGUUUUGCAUGUUUUGCAUGUUAAAGCAGUUUCUGGGGUUUAUAAUAUGGUUUGAUUAUCCUGGCUGAAUGAAAACGUAAGAGAAAAUGUGAUUCAGAAUAUAAAUUACUCAGUUCUUUCUUAUCCCCCGUGGCAAGGCAUAUCCCCCAAGUUUGCUGAUUUGGAAAAUCCUUAUUUUUGCAAGGACUGAAUUCCCUUGCUUGCUAUUUAUCAGCAUUCUGCUGACAACUGUUGUUCCUUCUCUGUUCUUAGCCCCUUUUUUGUUUUUCUUGUUAAAAUAUCUAUUUAAAAAGUCAGUUCAGUAGCCCAACUAUUUCAAAAUCUCAUUUCAUCUCAUUUGUCAUUUAUUACUAGGCCUAUUUUCUCUUCAGUGUUUCUUAUCCCCCAGAUACAUUUGAGGAAACUCUUUUAAAUCCCUGGAACGAUUGCAUCACUAGUUCAUUUUACUGAAAAAAAAUUGACUCAAACUUUGAUCCCUAUAUAUUACUCCUACUUUUCAAUUUCAAGUAUUUUUUUCUUAUAAAUCUAGAACUUUGAAAAGUCCCUAGUGAGUCUAGUCUGAAUAAAACACACAGUUUUGAGAAAUUUAUCAGAUGAAUUAUAACGUAUUACUAUUUACCUCUAGGUUAUUUGAGGAUAGUCUGGUCUUUUUUUAAUCUAACAGUUUUCCAUACCUUCUAUCAUUAGGGUUCACAAAGAUGCAGCUUGUUUUGUAGAUAUUUCAUAUUUUUCCCUAAUUUUGACUUGCUUUUGGUUUCUUAAUUUUUAAAAAUAGGCUUAUCUGGAACCCAGUUUUAAUAAAUCUUGCCUUCUAAACAUGUCUUUUGGUAGUGUUCAAUGUCAAGGGCCAUUCUCCUUUUGCUUUUCAAUAUUCAUUAGGUGCUAUUGAAUAGCAGACCCAAGAAAAGAAAAAAAAUUGCCUUCAGAAGAAUAGUAGAAAGAACAUUAAGUUCAGAGUCAGGAGUCCACUCUUAAGCUUUCUGUCUCACAGUUUAUUUUACUUUUUUGGAUUCAGGCUUUGCCUAUCCCUCUUUCCCCAUCUAGAAUCAAUCAUCUCCCUUCUCUUCUUAUCUAAUACUGAGAAAAUGCAUAGGAAAUUUUGCAAAGCACUAUGAAUGCCUGUGAAAAAGGGCAUUAUGUAAAUGUGCACUAUUAUUAUGCUGGAAUUUUGCCAUUUCUCUGUAUGCAAAAGGAUAAGAUUUAGAAUAAUAUUAGCUCCUUUCAACCUCCAGUCCAAGGAUGUUCAGUUACCAAAUACUAGGAGAAUGGUAUUUUGAUUCUUAUUUGGUAGGCCACAGCAAAGCUUCAAGACACACUAGAUUUAUGCUAUUUUUUUUUAAUGAUGAUUAGUGUCAUUAUUAUGUUUACCCUCUUGGGAGAGGGAUAGCAAUGGAGGGAAUUGAGGGCAGGAUGUUCUGUUUUUGCUUAUUUUGCUUUGAUGAGGGAAAAGGCAGUGCAAGAGAGGGUCCUGACUGAGGUCUAAAUGGUCCAAAUAGCUCAGUUUAUAUGUGAAAGGGGGAAAAAGAUGGUAAAGAUGUUGCAUAAUACAAAUGAAAUUUGUAUAAAUACUGACACUAUUGUGAACCUCCAAAAUUUGAGACAGGUCUCAGUUAAUUUAGAAAGUUUAUUUUGUCAAAGUUGAGGACACGUGCUCAUGACACAGCCUCAGGAGGUCCUGACGACGUGUGCCCAAGGUGAUCAGAGCACAGUUUGGUUUAUACAUUUUAGGGAGACAUGAGAUAUCAUUCAACAUAUAUAAGAUAAACAUUGGUUCAAUCUGGAAAGGCAGGAUAACUUGAAGCAGGGAGGUGGCUUCUGGGUCAUAAGUAGAUAAGAGAUAAAUGGUUGUAUUCUUUCGAGUUUCUGAUUAGCCUCUCCAAAGGAGGCAAUCAGAUAUGCAUUUAUCUCAGUGAGCAGAGGGGUGACUUUGAAUAGAAUGGGAGACAGGCUUGCUCUAAGCAGUCCCAGCUUGACUUUUCUCUUUAGCUUAGUGAUUUUGGGGGACCAAGAUAUUUUCCUUUCAAAUUUCUCCCCUUUUUUUUUGUAAAAUCUUUUGGAGAAAGCAUUUUAGAAGAAAUUGAGCCUCUGGUCCCAUGUUUUGUCUGAUCUCUCAUGGCUAGGAUGAUUUGUUCCUAGACAGGUAAGCACCAAGUUAUUAGGAAAGUUUUGUUAGAAGGUUGUGAAGUCUCAUGUCCUAUGAAAAGAAAAUAGGGGGAGGAAGGGAGAAAAACAACAACCACAAAAAGAACAAUCCUGGAAAAUCUAUAUAGGCCACAUUACUCUGAAAUCCAAACAUUGGCAAACAGGCAUGAAAGUGGUUUAUGUAUGUAAAUAGGUUGCUGUUAUUUUCUUCUGAAGUUUAUUGUCUAGCUUAAGUUCUCAGGGCUUUAUGAAAGUGCAGCUUAGUUUUCAAUGACUCCAAAUUAGAAAAAAUGGGGGAAAAAGAGGGAAAAAAUGGAAAACAUUAUUUUGAAAACUUGUAGCCAAGAAAAAUUAGAAUUUGUCCAAACUGUAGAAAAUAAUAAAACUGAAAAACAUUAAGCAAGACUAGAAUCUAACAACAAAUAUAUUUUAGUUUUGAAACAUAAAUUUUCUCUCCCCAGUUUCCCAUUUUUAUUAAUGACAAGUCAUGAUAGGACUGAUAUGCUUUAUUUUACUUGGCCUAAUUAUUUGCAUACAGUGCAGCAAGAAUAAAUAUUUUUCACAUAGGCUUUUAAAAUGGCUUUGAUGGAACUCUGUUCCAUAGAAGGAAUCUCAGAUAAGACUUUUUUAUAGUUGAGCCCAGCCAUGGAUUUGUGCCAUCAAAUACCUAUGAGUCGGGCGAUCCUUUCCUCUUGAGGUCCCGAGAUAAACCUGGGGCUCCUGGGCCUGCCAGAAAGUGACAUUAUUUACUUAUCACAGAUCAGAAACCCUGUACAGGGAAGUUAUGAGGCCAGUUUCCCCAAAGGGCUUUAUUGGCUCCAUAAGUCAAGUUUGAUUCCUUAAAGGAAAGCACACCAUUCCAAUCAAAGCCUCAUUAAAAUAACAAGUUUCUCCAAUUGUGUCCUGUUGCAAAAUGAAAAGAUUCUUACUGCACUUAUGCAAAUAACUGUAUUGUGUAAGUUAAGAAUACUCACAAAUAGUUUCCAAAUUGUGGAGAAAUCAGGUAGAGAGAAACAAAUAUGCUCCAAAUUUUGUUCAUAGGAGUAUAUAAAAUUGUUAAAAGCUGUCAGUAGCUCAAAAGAAGUUUCCUUGACUCUGAAAAAAAACAAAGAUGAGCAAUGUUUAAAGCAAAUAGUCAAAAAUAUUACUUUAGUCUUCUAUCAGUUCAGUUUACAUAGUUAACUUCUGUUCUGCUUGAUAUUCAUGAACAUUUCAGCUCUCCAUGGGAGUCCUGAAAGUUUUUUUCCUCUAGUCUAAUGUCACAAUUUCCAAAGUUAUCAGAAAUCUGCAUUUAAGAACACCUGUUAGAGUUCUAUAGCUGAUUAUAAAACCACCUUCUAAGGAGGACCAAAACAAGACAACAAUUGUCCAUGGAUGACAAAAGGUUUUAGAGCAGCCAUAGUCAAAGACACGAGUGACAAGGAAAUUUGUUACCUCUGUGGCACACAAUAAUUUAACAUGACAAUUACAAUUAUUCCUGAUAAUGAACACUAAGUCAUAUCGGAAUUAUAGGAAUUUCCUGUGAUUUUGGAACACAUACCAAUAACAUAUUUGUACAAAUACAGCCUAAAGAAAACCAAACACCAUUUUAUAUUUGACAAUGUUUCCUAUAUAAUUUUUAUACCAAAUAAGCCAGACUAUGUCAUUUCUGGACUUUAGGGAACCUAAUACCUUAAAGGAUAAAUUUGGUUAGAAAAAGACAUAAUGUAUAAUUUGAUUUUGGAAAGUUUGUCAAAUAUCAAAGGUUUAAAACUCUUGAUAUCACAAAACAGGAUCAUUCAUUUGACCAAAGUGAUAACUCAAGGAUUUCAAAAAGGCAAAAACCUUCAUUCUUUGAGAGAGGAGACUUAAUGUUGCAAACCACAAGCCCUGAUAAAAACAGCAUGAAGCCAAUUAAAUGUGUUUUUCAAAAUUUUAUAAACAAUCUAUAAAGUUUUAAUCUUGACCAUAAGAUACAACUUCCAUAAGCCUUUUAUAACCUUUAUUAGGGAGUCAGUUAAUGCUUCAAGAAAACCUUGUUAAUUUGACACAGGGGCCCAUAUGCUGGUCUUGCAUCAGGGUGCCUUUAAUAUCAAUGACUAAUUUAUAGAGAAACUGAACUUAUGUUUCAAAAUCAGCCCUUUCAAUCUCAUGUGCCCACCUUUUCUGUGAUAGUCCCUGGGCCUUGAGUUGAAAUAGCUUUACUUUCUGGCCCUGUGUCUCAGGAAUGUUUAUUUUGAUUGACAUCUUCUGCAGGGCCUGAAGAUGGGGCUUUAAUUGCUUUCGGUGUUUAAAAUUUAGCAGGACUUGGUGUUCUUUUUAGAUCCAGGAGUCAAAGUCCUGUAACUUAGUGUCACAGGUACUUUAAAGUUGCAUCAGAGAGUUAGACAGAUGUAAUAACCUUAAUUUUAAAAAAAGUAAUCUGAGAAUUUUCCUAAGCAAACAAAACUUAAAUAAUAAUAUGACAACUUGAUCAUAUAAAAGAUUUUUUUAAAUAAAUCCUCUUACUGUGGCUUACACAGACCGUUCAUGAUAUGCUUGGACAUUCUGGUUUGUCCUGAACAUCCCUCUUUCUUAAACAACUAGUCAUUUUACUCUAGGACUAAAUUUACCAUACAAGAUCCUUUCUCAUAUGAAAUUGUUUCCCUUUAAGCUUUCUUACAAAAAAAAAUCUUUAUUUUUAUAACUUUCUUUAGUAAUCUCUUUUACUUCUUGGUUCCUUUUACCUUGUUUUAUACAUACCUUCAAGCUUUAAAUUAGACAAAAAUUGUUCACCAUUUUUUAAAAGGAUACACUUUUUUAAUGUUUUCCUACAAGUUUAUUUUUAUUGGAAAAUAUCCAAAUAAUGAAAUAUCUAUUAUUUAAUUUAAUAUAACCUUAGAUUCUAAAUUAUGAUGAGUUUGUCUACAAGUAUUUAUCCUAUUAUAUUUACCUAAUUAUUUUAUUUAUUUUAACAGUUUACCUAGAUUAUUUAUAAAAACUGCAAUUGUCAUUAUUUAAAGUUAUGGAGCUGCCAUUGCAAAAUUAUAACUGAGACAGUGAAAAAGAUUUGAUCUAACUGACUCCAUCUUACUUCUAACCUCCAAGCUGUCCUUGUUCAUUCCUGGGCAUAGGCCAAACUAACUUUGGGAGGAACUUAGUUUAUAGUUUAGCUUUGAAACAAAGACAAUAACAGUCCUUUCCCAAAACAGACCUUACUGCCUAUGGACUAGACCACCUAAAGCCACAAGAUGAGAAGUUAUAGUAAUCUCACUAAAUUCAAGAUGUAGCUAUUUUUACUAAACUAAUAUCAACAUCUUAUUUAUUAAAGAUUACACAAGCAAAGAUCAUUCUGUCUUGGGCUGGGUUUAUAGUUUUGUAAACCUUAUGCCAAAUUUUUACACCUUAUAGUAUCUGGUAGGGAUAAGUAUGAAAUUGUUUGAUUAAUAAUUGCAAACAAAAAUGUAUGCUGGUAAUUCUUAAGACAUUUCUAAUAUUACUUUACCAACAAUUUUAAAGCUAACUUAUUUAUUAAAGAUUUUACUUAAGUUAUGUAAACUUGAAAAACCAUUUGGCUAGUCUUUUUUUUCCUGAUAAAGUGUUUGAUUCAAGCACUUUUAUUUUCUUAAGCCAAUUAAUUAAAGCUCUUUUAUAUGUUUUUUGUAGUGAAAUAUUUUGUACAUAAAACAUAAAUAUAUAGACAUAUUAGGCAUGCCAAUAGAAAUACAUCUUAGAGAUUUAUAAAACUCUUUUUUUCUUAUCUUAGACUUUCAGAUUCUUGAUAACCUGUUUCACGACUCUAGGCAGUUGUCAGCUAAACAGCUUUAAAUUUGCAUAUUAAAGGAAACAACUCAGAUGAAAAUCAAAUAGCAAAAUUUACAUCAUAAAGUACAUAGAGAAAAAGUCUAGUGGUGCUAGAGGGAGAUUAAAGAUGGAUGCCAAAUCAAACGUAAAAUUGUGGAAAUCAAUCAUAGGAUUGUAUAAGGAGAUCAGUUUUAUUUAGAUAGGGACUACCUAACUUUUAACUGGAUCUCUGUGCUCUGGGAAGAGCCCACACUGAAUCCUGGGUUUCCAAAAAGUAAGAGUUAUUAUGAGAUUGGACCAGGUGAUGCUUUUACAGUACACUUAAUUUUUUUUAAACAAAGACAUUUCUAAGUGUCUAAACCACAGUCUUCCUUAAAAACCCAAGAGUAACCUCUGUUGCAAUAACUGUUUUAGUAAAAAUAUAAAACGGUAACACAAUACAAAAUUAAGGAAUUUAAGAGCUGAGACGAACUUGUCUGAUUACAUUCUUGGGGUUCCAUAAGGAAAAAAUGUUUCUCCCCCAAAGAGAGUCUGGUGUCUUCUUCAUUUUCUUUAAGGAACCCUAGGUUAUUAUAAUCUAUUUUAGGUUCUCCAUGCAGUAGAAGGUGCAAGAGAAGAGACAGCAGAAGUAAAUGAAGAAAACAGAAUUCAGUCAACUGAGAAGAAAAAUACUUUUGCUCAAAAAAAAAAAAAAAGACAAGGUCCUAGGAUAAAAGCAAAAACAAAAUCACGAAAGCCUGUUAAACACAAGCACACACAUAUGCACACAAACACACACAUAGGCACACACACACACACAUCUUGGAUGUUAGCUUUUAAUUAAGCUGACUUUUAACCACUGAGCUCCUUUAAAAAAAUCUUUUUAAAUCUCAUUACCAUAUUUCAGCUAGGAAAAAUUCUGCUAUUUCAGAAGUAUAGCCAAUGCUCUUUCAGUUUGGUCUGGCUAGCAAAAAGGUGGCCUUGUUGUUUAAAUAAAGACCCUUAGUAGUCAAAAUAAAAAAUAUUUUCUCUUUUUCUUUUUCCUUUUGCUGGCAAUUUUUCUCUCCCUACCACACCACCUUUUUGUGUGUAUGUGUGGAAAGUUAGCCACUUCAGAGGCCUUGUUCCCCAUAAUUUGGAACUUCCUUUGGAUUUAAUCAAGUCAGAUAGAGUUGAUCAAACCCAAUGAGAAAAAGACCGAAACAACAACAAAAACAGAAACAAACAACAUAAAACAGUUAAGCAAAACAAAAGAUCACACAACUUAUAUGAUUACUGAGUGCUCUAAUGGUAAGGAGAAAUUAAGACCAGCUGGUUGUUAACUUUAGCCAAGACAAAACCCCAAUUCAGCUACUUACCUAGAGAUGGGUCUCAGGCUGAAGAUGGCUGUCUACCAUCCUAGAAGUAGGAAAAAAACCCCUCAUCUGCCCUGUUGGAAGUGAGCUGAAACUCCAUAAAGGAGUAACUGCCUUCUAUCAUCAUGGAAGCAGGAAAACUUGUCUUCCUUGUUGGAAGCAAGUAGAACUUCAAAAAACAAAACAACAACAACAACAAAAAAACGGGGAGUUGUACAGCAAAAUAAACUUUAGGUCUUAACCAAAUUUUGGGAGAUCAGGGAUUCUCUGGAGGGGGUGCUCCCAUACCUCAGCAAAUUGUCCUGUUGGUUUGAGCCAUAAAGUUAGCUCAUGCUGGUACCAAGCACUGGUAGGAGAUUUCUCAAAGGUCAGGGGCACUUCCACUCAGAAUCCCUACGUGGUUACCAAAAUGUAAACCCCCAAAAUCUGAGACAGGUCUCAGUUAAUUUAGAAAUUUUAUUUUGCCAAGGUUGAGGAUGCAUGCCCAUGACACAGCCUCAGGAGGGUCUGAUGACAUGUCCCCAAGAUGGUCAGAGCACAGUUUGGUUUUAUACAUUUUAGGGAUAUAUGAGACAUCAAUCAAAAUAUGUAAGAUGAACAUUAGUUCAAUCUGGAAAAGCAGGACAACUCCAAGUGGGGAGGGGACUUCCGGGUCAUAGGUGGAUAAGAGACAAAUGGUUGCAUUCUUUUAGUUUCUGAUUAGCCUCUCCAAAGGAGGCAAUCAGAUAUGCAUUUAUCUCAGUGAGCAGAGGGGUGACUUUGAAUAGAAUAGGAGACAGGUUUGCCCUAAGCAGUUCCCAGCUUGACUUUUCCCUUUAGCUUAGUGAUUUUGAGAGCCCAAGAUAUUUUCUUUUCACACUAUGUAGAAUAUAAGGAUAUAUACUGCCUCCAGAGUCACUAAAAGGUACAAGGCAGUACUAAACACUCCCAGAUGUAAAAGAGUCAGCAUCCUUCACUGAGCAAUUUAAGGGUACAUGAAAGCCCAGUCAGCCCCAACAUACCUCCUGCUUCCUCAGUGCCAUAAUCGGCUGUCUCCACCAUCAGACCCACUUCACUAAAUUGCAUUUGCAGUUAAUUAUUCUAUUCAGAGCCCCUGCAUAAGACUAGGAGCUCCUGCAUAAGAGCUAGGUGCUUAUGAUUAAUGCAACCAGCAACUAACUUGCUGUAAGUAUUGAUUGAUUCUCAAACCUUGUAGAAAAGAUGACUUUUAGAUGAGAUCUUGAAGGAUGAGUAGAGGUCAAAAAGUCAAGUACCCUGUGCAGUUAACAUAAACAUAUGAAGUAGACUAGAUACAAUACAAUAGGAGCCUAGCUACUUUUGUUAACUGGGUAAGAGUAAUAUCUACCUCAUUACUUGCUACAGGCCCAAUGUAAUGGCCAAAAAAAAUGUAUCUAGGGUCAUAUAGAAAUCCUUGGAUACCAGCUUGAAAUCCCUAAUUUAAAUAGAUGGAGGAAGGAUAGUAAGGUAUUUCCAACUGAAGGAGUAAUAUGGAAAUAAAAAAAAAGUAACCAUGACUUGCAUGUUACUUAUGAGAACUCUAUUGGCUUUGAUUAAUUUAUAACAGGUAUUGGCAAUAUUUCAGAAGCAUGGGUACAAGAAAUUACCACUCUUCUUUUGAAGAGAUAGAGACUGGUAGGGUAAGAUCUCAUAACCUAAAGUGAGCAAAGGGCUUCAUUAUGGCUCAAGGUUCAGAAACAUUUCCCAUAAAUAUUUCGCCAUUAAUGUUAACAUAUUCUUCUUUAAAAUGCAGAUGUCAAUCAGAAAAAUUCAAAUCAUAUCACCUUGUAUAACCUAGCUGAGACUAACCCCAAAGAGGGAAUAGAAAAUUACAUGGGGGAGGGAAGAGGGGAAAUUUAGAGCUUAGGUCUUGGGUAGAAGUCAGAAUCGUAGGUGGAUGUGAGUGCUCUGGCAAGCUGAAGGCAGGUGAGGAAGCCUGCAGGUAGUGGGGGUGGAUACUGCAGGAGAGGGAGGAGGCAGUCUUUGCCUACUGUGCAGUUUUGCCUAGGGCAGCUAAUUGCUUGUGCCUAGAAAAUUGCCUCUGGAAGCCUUGGGCAAUAUGCGGUAGCUUUUCCCUGAUGCCUAGUUUAUCAGGUUAAGUUGAAAUUUUGUGGGGAGAAAGGGAAGAAUGAUGAGCUGAAAGAAUUCCUGAGCUGAAAGAAACCUGAAAGAUCACCAACUUUUUUCAACAAAGUAUCUCCAAUGAUAAGAGAGGGAACUUGAACCUCCAGGAAUCUGGGGACUUAGCCCAAAGUAACCCACUACAAGUGGGAAUAUCUUUGAAAUCUCUUGGUUUAUCUUAAAACUUUGCACAAAGUUUGUAUUGAUUCAACAUAACCAUGUUUGUUUUAAUAUAAUAAGGCUUUAAAUUACUACACCCAACCCACCAAUCUGUAAAUAAAACUGUCUAAGGCCCUACCCGUGAUAUGUCAAAUGGCUUGGUCAAGACAUUUAACUAGUAAGGGCAAAGAUAGAAUAAGAAUUCAGGGCCCGGUACGGUGGCUCACGCCUGUAAUCCUGCACUUUGGGAGGCUGAGGCGGGUGGAUCACCUGCAAUCAGGAGUUCGAGACCAGCCUGGCCAACAUGGCAAAACCCCAUCUCUACUAAAAAUACAAAAAUUAGCCAGUCAUGGUGGCAGGCGCCUGUAAUCCCAGCUACUCCAGAGGCUGAGACAGGAGAAUCACUUGAACCCAGGAGGCAGAGGUUGCAGUGAGCCCAGAUUGCGCCGUUGCACUCCAACCUGGGCAACAGAGCAAGACUGUCUCAAAAAAAAAAAAAAAAAAAAAAAAAAAAAGAAUUCAGGUCUCCUGACCACAAUGCCAUAUCUCAGUUAUGUACCAAUGGAGAUGAAUAACAGUGCAAGAUGGUGAGGACUGUGUCUGAGGAGAAGGGUAAAAAAGGGAAAGUGGAAGGGAUCUUCACUUUAUAAUUUUUCUUUAGGAUUAACUCUGGUGUGAAGAUUAUAUAAAGUAAGGGAAGGGAUCUAACAUUCAUUUCUAUGUGCCCACACUUUGUACUGGACACAUUAUCUUUAUUAUCUCUCUUAAUUUUCAUAGCAACUGUGGAAUAAGUUAUCACCAUGAUACAGUACAGGAUGAACAAAUUCUGAGAUUAACAAAUCUGCCUAUGGCUGCUCAACUGGUAAGAGGUAGAGUUAGGAUUUGAAUCCAGAAAUGUCUGACUAAGCCACACUGCCUCUUUUCCACAGACGUUUAUUAAACGUAUACUAUAUGCAAAGUACUAUGCUAGGUGCCUUAAGUGUAUAAAUAAAUAAAGAACUGAUUAGGGAUAUAAACAAGGAGCUCUGACUGUCUUGUUCCUGGAGUCUAUAGCCUAAAGAAGGAACUCUGUAAUUAAUUAGCUGGUCAUUUUUAUUUUUAUUUUAUUUUUUUUUUUUUUGAGACGGAGUCUCGCUUUGUUGCCCAGGCUGGAGUGCAGUGGCACAAUCUCACUGCAAGUGACACAAUCUCACUGCAAGCUCCGCCUCCCAGGUUCACGCCAUUCCCCGGCCUCAGCCUCCCAGGUAGCUGGGACUACAGGCGCCCGCCACCAUGCCUGGCUAAUUUUUUUUUUUUUUUUAUUUUUAGUAGAGACAGGGUUUCACCGUGUUAGCCAGGAUGGUCUCCAUCUUCUGACCUCGUGAUCCACCCACCUCGGCCUCCCAAAGUGCUGGAAUUACAGGCGUGAGCCACCGUGCCCGGCUGGUCAUCUUAGCUGUCUAUCUAAUGCCCCAAUCUGAUAAAGAAGUGAAUUAGAUCACUCACAACCACAAAAAUUAGAAGAUAUUUUCAGUGUUCAUUAAAUCUUUUUUAAAAAUCGGAGGAUGCACCACACAUGGCCAAACCCCUUUUUAUUAAUAUUUUAUAGCUUUGCAUGGCAUAUGGAACAAUGUUCCCAAAGAGUCCUAAGUUAUUAAUAGGUUCAGCAAAACCAAAACCAAAACCAAAAACCUGGUGUUAGCAAUAUUUUCUUCAAAAGUGCAUUAAAAAUAUAAGUGUAAGAAAAAUACUAAGUACAUUUCUCUUGUUCUUAUUAUGUAAGUCUGUCUUUAAGGAAUGGUGGGCAAUCUUAAGAGCAAAAGAAGUUGUAUAUGUUACCUGAAGGACAAAUGACUGGUGCUCAGUUUGUUAGUCAAUGCAGAGUCAGGUUUUACCAUUUUACCAACUUAUUCUAAACUUUAAUGUAUGUCAACUAUUCAGUGAUCUUCAGCCUUUCUUAUGCAUAUUUGUGAUGUAGAUAAAAUUUUGACUGUUUUAAGGCAGUUUCCUUGAAACUGUUUCUACUGUUUACUUUAAUCUAAAUGACUAUUAUAUUUCAUGGGUUCAUAUUGACCUUUCAUCACUACUUUAUAAUGCGUUUUGAGGGCAAACAGUUUUGGGAAAUACUGAUCUAGAAAUUAUUGCUGCCAAGUUGGUACCAGGUGUUGAUUGCCAGUUUCUCAAAAGAGAUACUAAUCUUCUUGAUUUAGCUUCCUACUUUUUGAACUUUUGUUACAUGUUAGAUGGAUAUGUGGUGUCCAAUGUACGUAUAUCUACAAUGUUAACAGCACAUAGAUUUAAUGCACAUAGAUGCACUUUUCUUAUGUACUUGAUAACAAGAAAUAUUUAACGAGAGUGUUUAAAGAAGUAAAUUUUAUGUUAUAUGUAUUUCAUUACAAUAAAAAAUGCAACAGGGUGAUACUGGUACAUAAGGAAGAACAUAAACUUAUGAAUUGCAAAACAUAAUAUUUUUGAUGUCAUAAUCAGAUAUAAGAAAAUAAAUAAUAAUCAUAUCUUAUCAGUAUGAGAAAAAACAUAACCAGGAGCUGGAGCUACAUGUCCCAGAGGAUAUAAAUAAGAAAUAAACUCAUGAGAAUAUUUACAUAGAAUUAAGUAAAGAGGUAGACCCCUAUUCUCUUUUUCUUUUUUUUUCUUUUUUUUUUUUUUGAGGUAGAGUCUCACUCUGUCUCCCAGGCUGGAGUGCAAUGGCACGGUCUUGGCUCACUGCAGCCCCCACCUCCUAGGUUCAAGUGAUUCUUGUGCCUUAGCCUCCUGAGUAGCUGGGACUACAGGCAUGUGCCACCAUGCUAAUUUUCAUAUUUUUAGUAGAGACGAGGUUUCACCAUGUUGUUUUGAACUCCUGACCUCAAGUGAUCCACCCACCUUGGCCUCCCAAAGUGCUGGGAUUACAGGCAUGAGCCACCACGCCUGGCCUAGUCCACAAUUUUUAAAAGGAAAUUGGUCAUUGAUGUGUUCUCAGUACUUGGUAUAGUGUCUGACAGAAUAGGUGUUCAAGAAAUAUUUUUUGAAUGAAUAAUAAGAUUAUUUCCGCACUGGAGCUCUUUCCCUAGUUGCCCAUUUAACCCGUUUACUUCCUAGAGCAGGUUACAUAACUUAUUCCCUUAGAACAUAGUGAGGCUAAACCAGAGUGAUUAUAAAACUCUUGAUAAUGCCACAUUAAAAAACAAAAUGUUGUAUGUAACAAAUAUAUCUGGGUAAAAAUGCUUUUAGGAAGCUUUGUUUAAAAAAUCAUUUAUGUAUCUUUAGUAGCAUAUUUGGUUGAACCAUAUGAAAUUGCCAUUUUUUCAUAGGUCAAAAAUGAGCAAUUUUAUAUGGUUUGGUCUUAGUUUAUCAGUUACUGGCUAGUGGGUGCCUCCAGUUUUUCAUGUUGGAAACAUUACAACUUGGAGAAAAUGUAAUUUAAUGUUCAUUAAAAUGAUUCUUUUUUGCUCCCAAAUGCCAGGGACUGAAAAGUGAUUUCAGAAAUCAGAACAAAUAUUAUAACACCUUCAUUAAAGUAUGUGAACCUGACACCUUUACUAGUAAAUUUUAUGGUUAAUCACAAAUCUCCUACCAGAGGCUGUGGAAUGACCAUCUGAAUAUAUUGUAAGAAGUCUUUUUUUUUUUUUUUUUUUUUUUGAGACGGAGUCUCACUCUGUCACCCAGGCUAGAGUGCAGUGGUGCAAUCUCACCUCACUGGAAGCUCUGCCUCCCUGGUUCACACCAUUCUCCUGCCUCAGCCUCCCGAGUAGCUGGGAUUACAGGUGCCCGCCACCACACCCGGCUAAUUUUUGUAUAUUUUUAGUAGAGACAGGGUUUCACCAUGUUAGCUGGGAUGGUCUCGAAUUCUGACCUCAGGUGAUCCACCCGCCUUAGCCUCCCAAAGUGCUGGGAUUACAGGUGUGAGCCACCGCACCUGGUCUGUAAGAAGUCUUAAUGGUCUUAAAUAUCGAUUGCCUUAACACACAGCAGUCCCUUUCUCUUCCGACGUUUAAAUAAGCCUUCCCAAUUAUGGUUAAAAAAAUGGUAAUGUCAUUUAUUUCAUAAUUAGAAGUGUAAUAAUAAAGUAGAUCUACAAAUUUGUUCUUAAAAAUAUUUCAAAUAAUGAUCAAAGGCAGGGAAAUUAAUUUUGAUCAUUUAUUAUUUUAAUAAUUUUAAGUCCCUAAAUGAUUACAAUCAAUUGAAGGCCCCCAGAGGUAGUAACCAUGGGCAAAGUCUGACACAGGAAAUAGAACUCUUUGCUUCUGACAUCAUACAUGACACCUUUAGCUACUUGUGAACACUGCCACAAGAGAGACCUCAGGGACACAACCUUCAAAGCUGAGAAGUGUAAGGGGGAGAAUUAGAGAGGUACAGACUAUCACCUCUAGCUUGUAACCAAUAUGCCCUCUUUAUUCUCCCAGUCUCAGUUUAGCAAGGGAGGAUUUAUACUGAGAUUAUACAAGAAUGCCCCAUUACCUAGACUUGCUAGUAGACCAUUCCAGCAUUAGUGGGAGGAGUGAGUGGGUGAUGCACUACAUUUUGGUCACUGUAAAGCCUUCCAGACAUUUUCUAUGCUUAUAUCUACCUAUACACUUUAAAAAAUCGUUCCAUAUGGGACAUCUUGCAUCAUAGCCUGCUAUUUAAAAAUUAAAUAUAUAUAUAAUGAACUUCUUUUUCAUUAUUAUUUUUAUACAACAUUCUUUUUAGAGCUUCUUAAAAUCGUAUUGUACAUGUGUUGCUCCACAAUUUAUCCACGAAUCCUCUAUUGUUGUUCACUAAGUUUUUUUAAGUUGCUUCCUCACUAUUAACAACAUUGCAGCUAAAUGUGAGCAUAAAUCCUUAAUUCUUUCUUAGGAUAAAAUCCUAGGAGUGGAAUUUUUUGGUUGACAAUGGAGGUUUUGAAUGAUUUCAUGCAGAAAACAUUUAGCUCACAAAAGCAGAGAGAUGGAUGAGAUCAGAGGCAGUAGGGUAGACUUUUUCAUUCUCCGGGAGCUUCUGAAGAGAGUCUAGUCUAUGCAGCUUCGAAAUAUGAAUUAGACGUUGGAAACCUUUUGUAUUUUCCACCUUAUACUUAAUUAUUUUAAACUAAGGCCAGAAAGAUAGGUAGGGUGAGGAAAUCUAAAAAUGGUUAACAUUUGCUGGGGUAUUAUGUGUCAGGCCGUGCUUCAAGCACUUUUCAUGUCUGUGAUUUCACUUUAGUCCUACCAUAACUCUAAGAAGUGGGUAAGGAAUGGACGGAGGCAAGAAAAACUAAACAACUUUCCCCAACGUCCCACAUCUAGUACUGUAUAUGGUAGAGCCCAGAGCUGUCUGUACUCUUAACACCUGUGCAUUGCUUCCUGCCAUCCAACACACUGGGCUGCGUAGGCGGAAAAAGUAGGAAAGCCUCAUAAUAGAAGAGGCUAUAGUGCACAUGAUAUCUUUCUAAAAUCUUCUACUUUCCUCUUUUUUAAAAGUUUUCUUUUUCUACCAAUGCCACAUUCUCUCUUGCUAGUAAAUACAAUGACUAUAUAACCUUAAGUAUUUUACAGUUUGCCACCAAUUAUUAAUGUCACUGAAAGUUUAUCUAUAUUAAUUAGAAGCUGCCACAUCAACUGUUGCUACAGUUAAAUUAAUUCUGAUAGUUGGUAUGAGUAAAUAAUUAUUUUUAUGUGAUUGUACUUGGUAAGGACAUUUCUGAAUUCUCACUGGAUAAAUUCUUUAUAUUUUGAUUAGUCUUAAAGUCAAUCAGACACCACAGACACAACAGGGAAGAUUGUGGAACUGUCCUUUCUAGGAAGUAAUGCUGCAUAGGAUUAAAAAAAAAUUUGGUGGGGGGUACAUAGUAGGUAUCUAUAUCUAUGGGGUAUAUGAGAUUUUGAUGCAGGCAUAUAAUGCUUAAUAAUCACAUCAGGGUAAAUGGGUUAUGCAUCACCUCAAGCAUUUACAAACAAUCCAAUUGUAUUCUUUUAGUUAUUUUGAAACGUACAAUAAAUUAAUGUUAACUGUAGUUGCCUUGUUGUGCUGUAAAAUACUAGAUCUUAUUUUAUCUGACUAUAUGUUUGUACACAUUGACUAUCCCCAUUCCUGUCUGCACUGCCUGCCCCACUCCCCUUCCCAGCCUCUGUAAACAUCAUUUUACUAUUUCCAUAAGUUCAAUUGUUUUAAUUUUUUUUAGCUUCCACAAAUAAGUGAGAACAUGUGAAGUUAGUCUUUCUGUGCCUGGCUUAUUUCACUUAACAUAAUGACUUCCAGUUCCAUUCAUGUAAUGUUGCAAAUGACAGGAUCUCAUUCUUUUUUAUGACUGAAUAGUACUCCAUUGUGUAUAUGUACCACAUUUUCUUUAUCUAUUAGUCUGUUCAUGGACACUCGGAUUGCUUGCAAAUCUUGACUAUUGUAAAUAGUGCUGCAGUAAAUAUGGGAGUACAGAUAUCUCUUCAAUAGAAUGAUUUCCUUUCUUUUGGGCCCAUACCUUAUAGUAUGAUUGCUGGAUUAUAUGAUAGUUCUAUUUUUAUUUUUUGGGAGAAUCUUCAAACUAUUCUCCAUAGUGAUUGUACUAAUUUACAUUCCCACCAACAGGAUACUAGGGUUUCUUUUUCUCCGCACACUUGCCAGCAUGUGUUAUGGCCUAUUUUUGGAUAAAAGCCAUUUAAACUGUGAGACGAUGUCACAUUAUAGUUUUGCUUUUCAUUUCUCUGAUGAUCAAUGAUAUAAAGCACAUUUUCAUAUACCGGUUUGCCAUUUGUAUAUCUUCUUUUGAGAAAUGUCUAUUCAGAUUAUAUUACUCGGGGUUCCCUAGAGGGGCAGAACUAAUAGGAUAUCUAUAUGGUAGUUUAUUAAGUAUUAACUUACACGAUCACAAGGUCCCACUGUGGGCUGUCUGCAAGCUUGAGGAGCAAGGAGAGCCAGUCCAAGUCUCAAAACUGAAGAAUUUGAAUGUCCGAUGUUUGAGGGCAGGAAGCAUCCAGCAUGGCAGAAAGAUGAAGGGUGGGAGGCUAGGCCAGUCUCGCCUUUUCACGUUUUUCUGCCUGCUUUAUAUUCGCUGACAGCUGAUGAGAUAGUGCCCACCAGUUAAGAGUGGGUCUGCCUUCCCCAGCCAACUGACUCAAAUGUUAAUCUCCUUUGACAACACCCUCACAGACACACCCAGGAUUAAUAUUUUGCAUCCUUCAAUCCAAUCAGGUUGACGCUCAGUAUUGGCCAUCACACAGAUCUUUUGCCCGUUUUAAAAUCAGAUUAUUAUAUAUUUUUUUCCUAUAGAGUUGUUUAUAUAGUCUGGUUAUUAAUCCCUUCUCAGAUGCAUAGUUUGCAAAUAUUUUCUCCCAUUCCUUGGAUUGUCUCUUCACUUCCUUGAUUGUUUCCUUUGCUAUGAAGAAGCUUUUUAACUUGAUGUGAUCUCAUUUGUCCAUUUUUUUCAUUGGUUGCCUGUGCUUGUGUGGUAUCACUCAAGAAAUCUUUGCCCAGUCCAAUAUCCUGAAGAGUUUCCCCAAUGUUUUCUUUUAGUAGUUUAUAGUUUCAAGUCUUAGAUUCAAGUUUUUAAUCCAUUUUUAUUUGAUUUUUGUAUAUGGCAAGAGAUAGGUAUCCAGUUUAAUUGUCUGCAUGAGGAUAUCCAGUUUUCCCAGCACCAUUUAUUGAAGACACUGUCCUUUCCCCGAUGUAUAUUCUUAGCACCUUUGUUGAAAAUGGGUUCACUGUUGAUGUGUGGAUUUGUUUUUUAGUUCUCCAUUCUGUUCCAUUGGUCUCUAUGUCUGUUUUUAUGCCAGUACCAUGCUGUUUUGGUUACUAUAGAUUCAUAGUAUAAUUUGAAGUCAGAUUAUGUGAUUCCUCCAGUUUUGUUCUUUUUGCUCGGGAUAGCUUUGGUUAUCCUGGGUCUUUUGUGGUUCCAUACAAAUUUUACGAUUAUUUUUUCUAUUUCUGUAAAGAAUGUCAUUGGUAUUUUGAUAGGGAUUGUAUUGAAUCUGUAGAUUGCUUUGAGUGGUAUGGACAUUUUAACAAUAUUGGUUCUUCCAAUUUAUGAACAUGGAAUAUCUUUCCGAGUUUUGGUGUCCUCUUCAAUUUCUUUCAUCAAUAUUUUUGUAGUUUUUAUUGUAGAAAUCUUUCACUUCUUUGGUUUAGUUUAUUCCUAGGUAUUUUAUUUUAUUUUAUUUAUAGGUAUUGUUAAUGGGAUUACUUUCUUGAAUUCCUUUUCAGAUUGUCCACUAUUGGCAUAUAAAAAUGUUACUGAUUUUUACAUUUUGAUUUUGUAUCCUUCAACUUUACUGAAUUUGUUUCUGAAUUCUAAUAGUUUAUUGGUGGAGUCUUUACAAAUAUAGGUUUUUUACAAAUACAAGAUCAUAUCAUAUGCAAACAAGGAUAAUUCGACUUCUUCCUUUCCAAUUUGGAUGCCUUUUAUUUCUCUCGUCUGAUUGCUGUAGCUAGGACUUCCAGUACUAUGUUGAAUAACAGUGGUGAAAGUAGGCAUCUUUGUCUGUUCCACAUCUUAGAGGAAAGGCUUUCAGUUUUCCCUCAUUCAGUAUUAUAGUUGCUGUGGGUCUAUCAUAGAUGGCUUUUAUUAUGUUGAGGUGUGUUCCUUCAAUAGCCAGUUUUUUAGGGUUUUAAAAAUCAAGAAGAGAUGUUAAAUUUUUUCAAAUGCUUUUAAGCAUCAAUUGAAAUGAUCAUAUGGUUUUUGUGCUUCACUCUUGAUAUGAUGUAUCACAUUGAUUGAUUUGCAUAUGUUGAACCAUCCUUGCAUCCCUGGGAUAAAUCCCACUGCAUAGGUUUUGAUUUUUUAUUUCCGCAUAGUACAUAAAAAUGUUUAAUCUUAAUAAAUACCUAACCAUGUCCAAGUCUUCAUAUUCUAUAGAAAACACCCCCAUAACACUGUCUCUACCUUUAAAAUGGCUGAAGAUAAGCACACAUUCAAAUUGAAGAGUUACUCAAAACACGCUUGAAUAAAUGAAGUUUAUAUUUGUACACUGAUCAACUGGAACAGAUGUCUUUCUUUUCUCCAUUGCUACUUCUGCCCUCCUUCUUCAAAAUUCUCAACUCCUUUUAAGUUCCAGUGAAUAUAGCACAGUAGUUAAAUGCAUAGAUUCUGGAGCUAGACUACCCAGGUUCCAAUCUCAGCUCUGCCAUUUGCUACCUGUGUGACCACGGGAGAGUUUCUUAGCCUCUCUCUGUUCCUUAGUUUCUUUAUCUCAAUUGCCAAGCUUAUAUCUCCACAUUUGACUACUCCUCAGACCUGUAGAUUUGUACCUAAUUGGUAUCUCAACGUGGUGGCCUAACAGGUCUCUUAAACUUAACAUCACCCCAUAGAGCCUGUCUCAUUCCUGUCACAUAAAUGGCAACAUCACACUCCUUUUGCUCAAAUGAAAAAUGUAGGAGUUGUCUUUGAUUCUUCUUUUUCUCACUCCCUCACUCAAUCCAUCAGUGAAUCUUAUCCCUUUUACCUCUAAAACAAAUCUCAAAUCUGCCCACUCCCACCAGCACUGCCCUAUAUAAGCCACGUCCUCUAAUGUCUGGGCUCCUGCAAUGGUUGCUUUGCUGGUCUCUGUUCUUUCACCUUUGUCUAAAAUCCAGUAUCCCUGCAGCCAGAAUGAUUUUUUGUAAAGCAUUAAUUUUAUUAGUCAUUCUCUUACUCCAGAUGCCCCAAUGACAUCUCAUCACAUUUAGAAUAAAAGCAAAACUCCUUAAUCUGGCCUUCAAAGUCCUACAAAAUUGGGUGCUGCAGUGGGUUGAAUAGUAUCUUACCAAAAUUCAUGUCCUCAGAAGGUAGGAAUACAAUUUUACAGAUGUAAUUAAGAUGAAGCCAUAUUGGAUUAGAUGCACCUAAAUCAAAUGAGUGGUGUCCUUAUAAGGAGAGGAGAGAACACACAGAGACGGGAAAUACAGAAAAGGCCAUGUGAAGGGGAAGGCAAUGAUUUGAGUGAUGAAGCUAUAAGGUAAGGAACACCAAAGAUUGCAAAGAGUCACCAGAAGCUAGGAAAAGACAAAUAUUCUUCCCUAGAGCUUAUAGCAUUUGGAGGCAGUGGAACCUGCUGACACCUUGAUUUCAGACUUCUAGUCUCCAGAACUGUGAGAGAAUUUACUUACAUUGUUUUAAGCCACCAAGUCUGUGGUAUUUUGUUACAACAGCUUCAAGAAACAAACACAGGUGCAUUUAUAACACUCCAGCUUCAACUCUAUUCAACUCUGCCCUCCCCUUGCUCUCUACCCUCCAGUCACCCUGUUCUCUCUCUGUCCCUGGUGUUGGAACACCAAUCUUGUUCUCAUCUUAGGACUUUUGUACUAGCUGUUCCCUCUAUUUGGCAAACUCAUUUCUGGAUCUUUUCAUGGAUCCUUCCUGUUAUUCACGUCUAGCCUAAAGUCACUUGUUCAGAGAGACUUCUCAAACACCCAUUCAAAAGUAGCCUCCCAAACACUGUCUUUCACAUCACCCUAUUUCAGUUUUCUGCUUUGCACUUGCUACAAUCUGGCGUUUCUUAUUCAUUUACAUAUUUAUGGAGUCUGUUGCCGUUCCCUCAAUAUACACAUGCACACACACCACAUACUUGUGCAUUCACUGCACCUACACUGUCCAAAAGGGUAGCCACUAGCCACAUAUGGUGAUUUAAAUAGAAAUUUAAAUUAAUUAAAAUUAAAUAAACAUUUAAACUACAGUUUCCAAGCUGCAAUAGCCACAAUUUCAAGUGCUCAUAGCUGCUUGUGGCUAGUGACUACCAUAAUGAACAGCAUAGAUGUAGAACAUUUUCAUGCAUUGCAUUAAAUCCUACUAUUCAUUGCUGCUCUAGAAUAUAAGCUCCAGAGAAAGAGGAAUUUUAUAUCCUCAGUCUGAAUUUGUUUGAUACAUAAUAGAUGCCAAAUAAAUAUUUCUUGAAUCAAGAAUGAAUGAGCUUUCAAGAAAAAAAUUGAGCAUUAAUGUGAAUAAACUUUGUAAAAGCAAUGACCAUUUCUGCUACUGAAAAGAAAUAUGGCUUUCGGGGAAACUGACUUCUGUUCAUCUGGGCAGAGUUUCUGGAACCACAUUUGUCAUUGAUUAUUCUUUUUGUUUGUUUAUUCAAUAAACACUCAAAAAUGGAUCUGGUUGUAAAGAGGAUUUCAACAAAUUCUCUCAUCUUGAGUGAUAGCUUUUUUGGCUUAUAAGUAAAAAGUUUUAGCAAGGAUCUUCUGAGAAGUGGGAGGAGGGCAGGUAGGGGUGUGGGUUGAAUAUUAUCUUCUGUGCAGCAUAGCAUUUUCUCUAGAUGUCUAAAGAGACAGUGUUAUCAAUCUCACAUCUUUAGUAAUCAUUUCUCUGUGCUUUGAUUAAUGUGGGUGUAAAAUGUGUCUGAUGUAGCAAGCAUGUGUCUGAAACAUUCUGAGACAAGAAGAGUAAAAAGUAUUUUAAUUUAAAAAACGAACUUUAAAUAUGCUAAAAGGCAUAAGAUUAUUUAAUAUAACAGAUAAAAUGCUAUAUUACUGCAUUGGAAUAAAAAUCAUGGAAAUAUGUCUUUGUCAGACUUGAAGAGCAAAUAGAGCCAUAUGUUUAAAAACCAUUAAAUGUUGGCCAUAAGUGCCCUGCUCUGCUUUCAAAUCAUCACAAUGAGGUUAAGAUUAAAACUUGUGAGUUUCUGAUACUGUGCCUAGUAUAUGAAAAAAAGUCAAUCUUGGUUUCUCUUCUUUAUCUCAUUCCUCUAUUUUAAUACUCUGAUAUAUGUCAACAUUCUUACCAGGAAGUUCAUUGAUUGGUUAAUGAAAAAUUAUUGUUGAUUAGUGAGAAUUAUUGUCUUAAGAGAACCUUUGACUGAAAAGCUAGGGACUCACAAGUCAUCUGAAGACCAAUUCCAAAUGGUUAAACUUGAAUAAUAUUUAGUAAAACUUACCCAUAUCCUAUUACAAUAUUGACUGACCACAGAGGGGGAUUAAGGCAUUGUUGAGCUGCAGUAAUCAUAACUUGGUCUGAAACCCUGUAUAGAUUCUCCAUGUGCUAUUACAUAAUUAAAGUAUAACAUUUCCACGUAAUAAACUUUAUGGCUUUAGAAGCAUUGCUAAUGUUUUUACAUGCAAUUAAAAUGGAGGAAAAUAUAAGGAACUAGGUAGAAUAAGACCUCUUUGCUAUAAAACUGAAUAAAGAGGGGGAGUUUGUGUGUGUGUGCAUGUGCGUGUGUGUGUGUGUGUGAAAGAAUGCACAUGAGAGAGACAGAGAGGCAGGCAGAGACAGAGAGAAGCAGAGAGAGAGAAGGAGAGGAGAGAGGAAUAAAAAAUUAGAAAUGAGGGGAGUAUACCUGAUUUCAGAAAUCAAAAAAAUAGAAUAUUGAAAGUGUUCAGAAAGCUUGAUUCAGACUCUAGAUGAUUUUCUCUAACUAUUCAACACGGAGAGAUAUCUCAGCAUUUCUGUGCUGUGUUCAGUGGUCAGAGGCCCAUGGCUGAUGAUAAAGAUGCUCUGGUAGAAAUGAGUUAUCUCAUUCCCACUGGGGUUCUGGUAAGAGGCAAGAAAGGAGCAAUGAUUCUUAGAUGAACAGUGCCUUGGUUAAAGUGACCCAAUUUCAGAUCCACCAAUGUAGAAAAGAGACAAGUCCUUUAGCCAUGGACAAAACAAUGAGGAAAUAAGAGUCUCUUAUUUGGGGGUUCCCUGCACAGUCCACCUUUUCCAGAAAGUAACUGUCUCAUCAGUAUUUCUCCAGAUAAGUGACCACAGUUUCCCUUGUUUUGUGUGUUUUUUUUUCUGACAUGAAUGAGAGAAGAUAUACAGUGAGGAGAGCAGAGCCAGGGAGGAAGGGACGGGAAAAAGAAGGGAAAGACAAAAUAUGGCAGUAAAGUCCAUUUGUGAAUAUUCCAGAUAGGGUUGGAAAUCAAGAUCCCCCAUGACCCUGUUUAUAUAAGGAAAUCUGGUUUACAUAAUGAAGCAUAACUUAUAAAAUGUGCUCUCCAUAAAAAAAUCAAAUGUCAGCCCCUCCUGUGUGUAGUUUAAAGAACUCCCUUCCUUUCUCCUUUGAAAAAUUGAAGUGGGUGUGGAUAAAAAAGGACUGGUUUUUGGCAAGGGAUGAGAUUUGGGGUAGAAGUAUAUAGAAAGGGAGAAAAUUGAGACGAUAAAUGCUUCUGCUGGGGGUGUUUUCCAGGAGUUUCCUUAGAUGUGUGAGGCAGUUGCAGAAUUGAGUUUGGGCCUUGAGUUGGCCCCAUGCUCCUCUCCUAAAUUUGAAAAUUGGUUGAGUUCUAUUGAGCAGAGAUUGCAGACCAUGGAGCCCACUUUAUCUCCACUUUGCUUCCUCCUAUUUACUGCUCUUCCCUUCCUUCCCAACUCCAUUCAGCAGGUGUGCAGAGAGGGGAUUUGCUGUGGCAGCUCUCAUCUUGAUUCUUUCUGUCUUUGACUCCAGCUUCUUAUCCCAUGGAAGGCUGAGGAUCCUACAGGACUCCUAACCUUAUUCUAUCUCUGCUAGGCCCUCACUGUGCCUAGAAAUUGAAGGAAGGAAAAGAACUAAUGGCAUUUAUUUUCCUGAUUCUGUUUUAAAUUAACCCUGAAUCAGAAGGUUAGGAAGACAGUGAAUAAAUGAAGUUUGGGCAAAUAAACAACUGUUCUGUUUUUGAGAAAAUUUUGCAUGACAAUCUUCAAAUUGGGUAAGUAGGAUUAGCACUUUAUAUUGCAUUAAGCCAUCUGUCAUUGUAGGUUCAGUAAAUCAAAUAGCGGACCUAAAAUCUCUAAGUGAUAUGUUAUUCCACAAAUGAUAAGAGCAAUAUUUGUAACUUAAGUGUUGCGGAAAGUAGAAAUAUGGGGUCAGAAGAGCCAAAAUCCUGAUGAUCUAGCUGCUGUACCUUAAAAUGUAGUUAUAUUGCCACUACAAAACCAAUAUCCCUUAAAUUUCUUUUUAUCACAUCAGCUCCCUACUCUAGAUAUUUCACCCUCUCCCUAUUUACAAUCAUUUUUUUGUCUUCCUACACAUUUUCUUCUAAACUGACAUUCUUCCAAAUUUUUAAUUGGUCUUGUAAAGUCCACCUCUAGUUUCCCACCUUCCAUCUAUAAGCUCUGUUCCCGUAAAAGCAUAUGCCUGUAAGGACACUGUGAUCAGCUUUUUAUGCUUCUUGCCUUGUUUGCAUCAGAUCUCUUUCCUCUGGAGUGUGCUUCUUUCUCUCCAACUUGACCUGCUCCACAAUAGCUCAACAUCUUGGCUGAAAUCCUCUAAACUUCAACACAGCCAUCUCUGAAUGUAGCUUAAUUGAUAUUUCUCUCCUCCAACCUUCUGUAGCUCUGAAAAGACUACAUAGCCUAGCUUUUAAUUAUAUACACUUGACCAUUCUUAAAUAACAUGUGAAAGAGCCUUACAAUCUAAAAAGCAUAACAAGUUCUGGCAUGUAGUGUCACCCAGUACAUUUUUAUUCAUUCAUUUGUUCUUUAUUGUUAUUGCAUAUGGUUUGCUUUCUUCCCAAGAAGGGUGGCAGCUAAUUGAAGAAAGUGACCAUUUUGUUUCCUCUCCUAUGUGUCCCCAUCAGGGUCUGGCCCCCUGGAGAGCACUCAGUAGAUAAUCAAUAAGUACUUACUGACUGAAUGAUUGAUUGACUAAUGCACUUUGCUUUUGGAUUCCAAGUGCAGAAGCCCUUUAAGAUGGCCUGGUUUUCUUCCAAAUGAUUUGAAAUUGACCUCUACUACACAAUAGAAAGUUCACUGAUCUUUUGCAGAUGAGAAAGUUGAAAUAAAAAGAGGAUUAAAAUACUCUCAAACUCAAGCAGAAGAUUAGAGAUAGCUACAGCCUAGAAUUAGAAGCCAAGCACAUCCUGAUGCCAGUCCAUUGAAUUCAGAGUCAUUGAACCGUGCUUUGUUUUCUGACAUAGGUAGCUUUUGUCCACCUGUUAAUCUUUAAUGUGUAAGUUAUUAUAUAAUACAUUGCUAUGUGAAUCUACCUCUUUUUCUUGUUUGUUUCAUUUUAUUUUUUUAGUGACUCUUAAUAGGUAAAAAAUGUAUCUAAUUAUCCUUCAUGAUGUUGCUUUUUGUUUCUUAGUUGGCCUUUAAGGUCAGGAACUAUGCCUUAAGCGCCCUCACACUUCUUGUGUAUGGCACAGUACCUGGCAAAUAAUAGAUGUUUAAUAAAUACCUGUUGAGCAAAUGAAUGUUAUCGGAUGAAAUCAUCUUUUUAGAGUACUGAACAAUUAACAUGCCUAAAUCCUCUUUAGAGUAUCAAAGAGAGUCAAACAUCUAAACUGUCUUAUUUAAUUCAUAGCAACCUAUUCUUAAUGCUGAAUCAUAAUUCCCUUGCUUAGUUAUUGUCCUUUAGGGGUAAAAUAAGAAACUGAACCCUUACAGCAUCAUUCUGGAUUUGAUUCCUAACUAUAGGCUGAAGUAGGCUUUAAUUUCCACAGGUAAGAGUAUAACAUUUACAUAUUUAAGGAAAGAAAGUAACUUCUCCCAACUGAAAUAAGAGGUAAUUUAAGGAGACAGAAUUAUUGGUCCCAAGUUAGCAAAAAACAUUUUAAACCUGACUCAUCUGUGCCUUAUGGAUUUCGUAACUGAUGAUUAGCUUCUCUUAAUCAGUUGAACAUCCAUUUAAAGGACAAAUUGAUUAGCUCCUUGCAUAAUUAAAAGAACAUUAAGUGCCAUCACUUGGAGUUUAAAAAAUUGUUUUGAUUAACAGCAAAUAUGCACAGUUUAACAUUAAGAUAUUAAAUGGUGUUAUCUCAAAUUAUUAUUAAUUUGUUAUUUUUCAAAAUGUUAAGGAGGUGUUUGCAGCUAGCUUAGUGACCAAUAUUUGCAAUUCCCCAAAAAAUGCAAUUUUCAUUUUUUUCUGGCUGGCAUUAAAUUUAAUAUGCUUUUUCCACAAAGCAUGAGAGCAUAAUAUAACCUAUAAAUAAUAACCAAUGUUACAUUGUAAUCAAACAAUCAAAUUUACUAAUUCUUUAUUUAGUGAAAGAGUAAAUAGCAUGGUGCUGAGGUACAGAACAAGGAAAAUAAUUAAAUAUUAAAUGUUUACAAAUCUUUUCAAAAACAAUUGGUAAGAGUUAGAGGAGGUUUAGCAAGAAUGUUAAAAUGGAGAAAAUGGCUAUUAAAGGCAUCAGGAGCCAUACAGGACAAGAUUCACAAGCCAGUACAACUUACAGAAUUGAACAAUGUGUAAAAAUAAAAGAGUAGAAGUGAACAAGACAUUAGAGAAAUGAAGGAUGGAAAAGACUCUUCCUGCUGAAUCCAGGUACAAGGAGACAUUCAGGUGGGGGAAGAAUGACUGGGAGAUGGAUUUUCCAAUCCACAGGGGGUCAGUAAAGUUGUUUAAAGAUGUUCUAUGUCAGUAGUCCAUAGAAAAUUGCAUAAAAUUACACAAACACGUAAUUAAAGCUAAACAUUCAGAAUGUUAGGCAGCACCAUUCUGAGCCAGAUGGUACUUGAUUCUGACUAUACUUUCGGCACUGAGGACCUAAUUAGUCUUUGCAAAAAGGUGUGCAGGUGUCAGUCAAUUCUGAAGUUAGCGCUGAGCAGAACAGAUUAAUGGAUACAUUGGAAUAUUUGAAAUUGAUGAGGCCUGAGGUAAGUUUCAAACACUUAUUUGCAGAAGCUUAGGAGCUUAGAGAACAUGUAAGACAUUUGAUUUAGGUCUGUUUCUGAAAGUCUACAAGUAUGGGCUGUAUGUUUAUCUUUUUCUUUCUUCAUCUCAAAUCACCAGUCCCAGUAAGGAUUAGUUUAAAAGAAGACUGUUAUGUAUGCUCUAAUACUGAACUAUUACUCUAAAAUGAUCAUGUUUUUAUUUAUUUAUUUAUUUAUUUUUUGAGACGGAGUCUUGCUCUGUCGCCCAGGUUGGAGUGCAGUGGUGCGAUCUUGGCUCACCGCAACCUCCGCCUCCUAGGUUCAAGCAAUUCUCCUGCCUCAGCCUCCUGAGUAGCUGGGAUUACAGGAGUGCACCGCCAUGCCCAGGUAAUGUUUGUAUUUUUUAGUAGAGACAGGAUUUCACCAGAUUGGCCAGGCUGGUCCCGAACUCCUGACCUCAGGUGAUUCAACCGCCUCAGCCUCCCAAAGUGCUAGGAUUACAGGCGUGAGCCACUGUGCCUGGCUGAUUAUGUUAUUUUAAUAUCAUUAUGUUUUACCCACUCAUUAAGAGAUGUUUGGGCUUGACAAUGUAAACCUAACCUGAAUGGUAGCAGAGACCACAUAAUUCCUGAGAAACAGUCAAAUAACUUGAGUUCCACUAGACUACCUUCUCAAACAUUAGUGUUCAUAAGUUUUCCCUGGCUAACAAAUUGAAAAUACAGAUUCCAAUGGUUAUCGUCAGUGACUCUGGUUCAAUAAGUUUGGGAUGGGAACUGAGAAUCUGUACUUUUAACAAAUACUGAUAGGCAACCCAUAAACUAUCCUUUGCAAAUCACAUACAAGCCAAGAGUUCCUUGAGGGUAAGGACAAUUAUUUAUUGUUUGUUAUUGCUUCAGGAUCUAAUGUGAUGAUGUUUGUCAAUAGUUAAUAAUGAUUUGUUGACUGAAUAAUAGGCAAACUUUAUGUCUCAUGAUUAUUUCUCACUCUGGCUUGUUCUCAUUUAAUAUCAAAGUACUUUCAGGUUCUGCAAUGUUUGCCUAGAAUACUAGUCUUAAAUUCUUCAUCCUAAACAACAGAAUCGUAUAUUGUAAUUGGGAUUCCUGUACAUUUCAUCCUUCAACAUUUAAAAAAUAUUAAUUGAGCUCACACCAUAUCCCAGAGACUCUUCUAAACACAUAGGAUGUAUCUGUGACAGAGACAAAGAUCCCUUCUGCAUGGAGCUUACAUUCUAGAAGUCUGAGGUUUGAAAUUAUUUUCUCAGAAUAAUAUAAGUUCUUAACACUAAAGAGUUUCUUACAGAGUCUCGAAUUAAGUAACAAAUUUAUUUUGGCAACUUUCGAAGCUCACUGAGGGAAGAGAGAUUGGCUUAAAGCACCAGGGAAUUUUAUUUUUGCACAUAAAUAUUUAUAUGUGUAAAGGGGUGUGUGGUUAAUUAUAAGUGAUGGGAGGAGAAUGACAGAUGCUUAGAUCCUCUGUCCCCAUGGAGAGACAGACCUUGCCUGUUGGAGUGUAGUGGCACAUUGUGUGGUCUGUGUACUGAAUCACUGAUUUAAAUAUUGCAGCAGCUGGAGUGCAAAGUAUAUCAGCAAAUACUACAGGAGGAGGAGUGCAUGUGUCCUGAAUACAAAGUAAGAAUAAAAUAGGUUUGCAUAGUCACAUUGAGCAAGGCUGUGGCUGUGGAU
rnacentral:lncRNA from 1 species